rnacentral:lncRNA from 1 species
AUCUGGAACCUCCCGUAACAGACAUAGGAAACAGAAAAUGGUGUUCAUCAAACACAACAUGAUGAGAAAUAAUGACCUUACCAUCCGGUGUGAGACAUUGAUACCCUUUAAGUUAGGAACUAUAUCCUAUAAACGUAUAAGGUUAAGAACAAAAAUCUAACUUGUGACGCAGAAAGGGACGCAGAUACGGAAAACAACAACACCUAAACAUUCGUAAAUGAUCAUAUGUGGGAUCUUGUCUAUGCAGAACCUUGUACAGGGAUUGUCCGUUCAAAACCGAGGUAGAAAGACGAUUGAUGAGAUAAUAGCAUAAAAAAUGCAUUGCCCUAAUAAUCUAUAGGAAGAUUUGUUCGGGCCAAAAAUGUAAUACCCAUGUCAACAAUAUGCUGGUGAUUGCGUUCAGCCACCUCAUUCUGUUCGGGCGUAUGAAGAUAGGACAGUCUAUGAAUUAUCCUUGAGUCACCAACACUGACGUGAAAGUGCAAAACUCUCCUCCCCAAUCACUCUGAAAUUGUUUGAUUUUUUCCCAAAUUGAGUCUUGAUUAAUUGUUGAAACUAAACAAAACAAUCCACCGCCUAAGACUUUUGACGAAUAAGAUAAAUCCAAGUAAAGUGAGUGCACAUGUUAAUAAACGAGACAUAAUACCGAUUACGUCCAUAGGCAACUGAUGUAGGUCCCCAUAGUCGAAGACCACCAAAGUAAAAGGAUCAGUAUAUUCAGUAGUAGGGGUUGGAAAAGACAGUUUAUGAGACUUCCCUUUUUGGCAUACAGUAUAAACAUUAUCAAGACAAACUUUAUUGGAAGCAAUAUUACAUUUAUCUAAAACAGAUUUAACAAUAGAAGCAGAGGGAUGACCAAGACACUUGUGCCAUAAAGAAAAAUUAUCACAGCUAGCAGUCUGAGUCUGAAGUCCAAUAUUGGCAAUAAAAGGAGCCACAAUAAACGGAACAGACGCAAUCGACGGAGAAAAAUAUUAGAGCCCAUCACUAAUGUGGCCCCUCAAUAAAAUUUCCUGAGUCUUGAUGCCCUUAACAACACAAUAAGUUAGAUGAAAUUCAAAAAACACGUUAUUGCUAGUGGCAAACUGAUAUACAGACAGUAGAUUCUUCUGUAUAGUCGGUACACAUAAAACAUUAGAUAAGCGAAGUAAUUUAUUCUAUGAAGAAAACACUGAAUUUCCAACAGAUGAGAUCCUGGUGGGAGUCUCGUCACCCAUUAAUAGAGAGGAUGUACCUGAGUAAGGUGUAGAGUCAUUCAACAUAAAGGCAUCACGACAUACAUGGUGUGUAGCCCUUGAUUUUGGAUACCAGGAUGCAGUUCUGAUGAGUAUAGAGAUAUAGAAACCAGUAUCAUCAAGGUUGGACCUAAAUUGAGUGGCGUGAAUAUUAGGAUCAAUAGAAUUAGAUACAUCGGACGCAUGCAAAUCGGGUAGACGAGUGAGCCCAAUGCACGGAUCAGACUCAGUGCAAACAUGAGCCCUCAGUUUGGUCCGCCAAGGAACAGACGGCCCAGACGCAUGAUAAUCACCGUCACCGAAAUGCCCAAUCUCGCGUCCAUGUCCAAGAGAAUUAGAAAACUCUACACAAUUGGAUGUUGGCCCAUUUGGAAAAUUAGUAGCCUGCGGCCCAAGUAAAGUAAACGUGCCCCCAAGUUCCUAGUUUGAGCUAGAUGGCCUGGCACGCACGGGCUGACCAGGAUAAUAGCCAUAGUCAUACGGCCUAGUAGCAGCAGGCCCGAACCCAGCAGCAGCAGCAAAACUGCCAAAUUAUGAGUCCUGCCUAGGCACUAAAGGAGAAGACUCAUGCCUAGGCCCAAAUUGCAACAUUGCCCCAGCGGUAUUAUGCCCAAAUCCAUCAUCAAAGACUGCAAAGGGGUUAGAAACCCUAGUGGACAGCCUAGGCAUGUGAGGUGUAGCACAAAAUUUUUGCCAGAGAAUAAACCAUACGGCACUGUCGUCGAAGGGCCAUCAAACCCACCAGGAGUUUGCGACGGAAACAAAAACCCAGCAGUCGAGACCUGACUCAAACGACUGACCGAGAGUUAAAGCCUGAGCCACCGAUGGUUGUCCAUCAUAAUCGCGAUUAUAAUGAUAACAACAUCACUAGGCUAAAUGCCCAAAUCGGCCGUAAAUAUGACAUUGGAUGCAGGAACGAAAUCCUUUGCCACGACCGCCAGACAGAGGAGGCCACCAUGAACAGAAUCCACCAUCGGUGGUAACGGAACAGACUCCACAAGAUUUGCAUGAAUCAACAGUUCUUGAACUGCACGCAUCUGUCACGUCUCAUAUUCUAAUAACAAGUCAACAAGACGUUGAAAUGGAAGAGUUUCAAACGAGAACGAUGCUAAGGUAAGCACAGCAUCAAACUCCAGAGGUAGACCUGUAAGGACAAUCUUAACCUUUUCUGCCUCUGAGAUCCGAAAGCCAGAAGCCUCGAUCAAGGCACAGGUAUUCUGAAUUUUUGCUACAUAUUUUUUGAUUAAGAGGUUAUCUUUCUUAAGUGAGUAUAGAUCGUGACAAAUGCGAGAUAAUUUUGCACCUGUGACUGCUGCAAAGAGACGAGUGGAAGUAUUCCAAACAUCACACGCCGUUCAAGCAUCUGUAAAUGAGGAUAAUAGUGAAUGAUUAAUAGUGGAGAGUAACCAAGAGGCAAGUAACCUAUAAUGUUGAACGAACGCCGAGGCAUCCGGAUUUGGAACAAGAGAUCCCUCUGGUGACUGUACAAAACGCGGUGGAGCAGGUAACGUGCCCUCCAAAAAACCAGUCAGUUCGUAAACUUCAAUGAUCAGGUGAAUAUGUUGCUGCCAUUGAACGAAAUUUCCAUCAUCCAAUUUAACAGUGUCAUGGCAAGGGAAGGAUUGAACGAUCCGAACACCAGUGGACGCCGAACAGCCAUGCUCGACAGAGGCAGAGUCAGUAGAAGUAGUGGUAGUCAUGGGAGCAAACGAAGAUCAGGUCUCCAGCACCAAGGCGACUGAUACCAUGUUAAUAUCUACAGUAAGCUAAGUAAAAGCUAUAUCGUGUAUUGAAAAAGGUAUUCUGUAUUAUUUAUGUAUUAUCUUCAUUGAAUUGUACAACACUAGUAUUUAUAGAAUAUGUGAGCUAGUUGUUGCUAGUAACUGUUGUUAACAACAUAACAGUUUUGAAUAACAGAUUAACAACUUACAAUAACAGAGUCGUUACCAUUAUACUCUAACAAAGUUGGAGGGGCAAAAAAAUCAUUAUGCCAAUAAGUAUAUUAUUUUUAUACUUCUUGGCCAUAACUUUUCACAAAUAAAUAUAUUAUAACACUUUUAUAACAAUUUUUUUUCAUAAUUUUAGACUUUUUUAGGAUUUAAAUAAUUUUUUUUGUUAUAACUUUAAAAAUACCCAUUAUUUUUAUAAUAUAAGAAAAUUUUGGUAAUAAUCAUCCCAAACUCUCAUACAUGUUCAUGUUUUUAUAACUUGUAUAAAAAUAAUUUUUAAAAAUUAGAUUGUGAUGUGAUUAUUUGCGUAAUUAUUUCCAUUCUCACUCUCUCCUUAAAAAUCAAAAAGUGUAAUCGUGAUGCUUCAAUUACAUCCAAUUUAGUAAAAUUCAUUUUAACUAUUGCUAGUAUUCUUUUUAAAGAAAUAAUGUAAUUUUAAUUGUAUAUAGAAUAUUUACCAUCACAGUUAUAAUUUAUAAUGCAUAUAGAAUAUUUUAUAUUAUGCUCUUAACUUCUCAAAAAAUGUAAUUAAAUAAAUUAAUCUUCCCAUAUAACAAAUUGCUAUUAUCGUUAAUAUACCAAGACAAUUUUUAGAUUAAAAAUGAAUUGGGAAGAAUUAAUGGCAAGUCAAUCUUGGAAUAUCAUUACAAACCAUUUUUUUAUGUAUUUUAUUAUUUUUAAAUAUAAAUAAUAUAUUUAUAAGUUACUUUGUAGUAAGUUGUAAUGGCAAUUUAUAUAUGUUUAAUAUUUACUUUUUAUUUUAAUAUCUAUUAAAAUUAUGAUAAAAAUUUUAAAAAUUGAUUAUUGAGCUAACUUUUUACAAUCAUUUGUACAAAAAUUUAUUUUACAAACGCCGUUGAACUUGUUGAUCUUAAAAACAAAUGACUGAUGAAACUAAAAAGAAUUAUUUGAAAUAGGAUUUGUAUGAUUUAUAUAAUAAAAUAUAAUUAUAUAAUAUCAUUUAUAUAUGAAAUUUGCGUCCUUAUAUUUAGAAAAUAAAUCCUAUAUUUUAUUUCAUAUUUGAGAAUCUAAUUUAAUUUCCCCUCAAUAUUAUUCUUAAAAAUAUUAAAAAUAGAAAUAAUUUAAUAAAUUUUAAUUUAUAUAAUAUUAUAAUCCAAUGUAUCACAUUAAGCAUAGUUUUUUUUAAAUGAAAUAUGUUUAUGUUAUAGUUAAAGAUAUUAUAUUAGGGAGAAUGAUAUUAUUGUUUUAUUAGUUAUAUAUUGAUAAAUUUUUUAAUUUAAAUUGAUAUUAUAUACAAAAAUUUUAUACACAAUGAGCAAUAUGUUCUUUGUUGUGGUGAAUUAUAAUGUUUAAAUUCGUGAUAUAAAUAUCAAUGUAAUAUUUGAGUCUGAUUAAUAUGAUGUUCAUAAAAGAUAUCAUAUUAGUGAAGAUGAAGUGUAAAAUCAAUUGAAAAUCGAAGCUUCGAUUAAAUUGUAUAGAUAUAAAUUUAUUAUAUAUGACAAUCCAAUAAUAUAUUCUGCGAUUCAUAUAAUGUAUGAUGAUAAUGUAUAGAUAAUGAUUGUGGAAGGGUUGAGCUCGACAGCAAUGAAGAAGAAUAUGGAUCCGCGAUAUUCUAAAACCGAAAAAUCUAUAUUGUGAUGCUGUGCAAAAUAAUAGGGGUGAGCAAAAUUCGAUUUGAUUCGAAAAAAAAUCGAAUUUUGAGUUAAUUAAAUCGAGUUAUUCAAAUUAUUCAAGUCAACUCAAAUAAGUAAUUCGAGUUUCGAGUUCGAAUCGAGUCGAAUUUUACAAUUCAAAUAACUCAAAUAAUUCGAAUAACAUAUUGGUAUAAAUACCCUUUUGGUCUUUGUCAAUUUUAAAAUGAGCAAAUUGACCUCUCUCUCAAUAAAAAUUACAAAAUAAUUUUAAAAUUUCAAAAUAUUUAUAAAAAUUCCAAAUUUAUAUUUCUUAAAAAUUAUAAAAAAUUCUAAAAGUUCUAAAAAGUAUAUAAAGAAAGUUAAAAAAAAUUAAAAAUUUUCUAGAAUAAUAAUUUUGGCACAUAAAUAAGUUAAUUAAUGAUUCAAGUUUAUCGCACUAAAGUAAUUUUUUUUAUUUUGCUUUGAAAUUUUUUUCAAAUAUAUAUGGUUUCAAAUUUAUGUGCUAUAAUAUGAAAUUAGUUAUAGUAUAACAAGAUUUUAAUUUAAUAUGUUUAAUUUUUUAAUUUAACUCAAAUAAUUUUAUUCGAAUUGACUCGAAUUUCAUUUUACUCAAUUUAAUUUGAAAAAAUUUAAAUCGAGUUAAAAUGAUAAAAUAAGACUAAUUAACUUAAUUAACUUAAAAAAUUUUCAUUCGAUUCGAUCGAAUACUCACUCUUACAUAAUAAUGUACCAAGAGAGGCCAAAGUGUGGAGGUGCAAUAAUUACACAACUCAACUAUUUUGCAAAACUGUUUUUUAAAACUCUAAUAUAUAGAUGAUAAAAAAAAAAAGCCCUAGCCACUUGACAAUUUUUAACGAAAAGAGAAAAGGUUAGGGUAAGUAUAAUACACGUCACGUUAUUCCAGACAAGUUUUGCUUGCAGACACAGUUUCUUGCCUGUGAGUCGGUGACCCAUCUCAAAAUAUCACCCGUAACAUCUUUACCCAAUCACGCGGCCGCCUCCUAUUGGUUUGUCUCUUUGCGCAGCAAUACCCCACCCUCCCUACGUCCAGCUGUCUCACUACUUCAUAACAAUUGUAUCAUUCAAUUAGUUAUUGUAGGUUUAAUUUUUUCCAACCCCUUUACUCUUUCAGCUUUUAAAUUUUAAUCUAUCACCUUUUAAUUCCCUAUCUCUCCUGCUUGAUUUAAAAAUUAAAAUUUAAUUAAUAACAUUUCCAUUCAAUUUAAAUAUAUUAUUAUUUUUAGAUCAAGUCUUCGAAUAUUAAAAUGAUAUAUAUUCAAAUUUAACCAAGCUUUUGUGAAUUGGACUUUUAACUUUUAAAUAAAAAUGAAGAGAAACUAAAAUUUUAAAAUCAAAAGUAGAAAGCCUAAAUUUCAAAACCCCAACGAUAGAAUUAAACAUUUAUUAUAAUAUUAAUUACUAAGGUACACUAUACCUAAGUCACUAAAUUAUUAGUAAAUUUAUAUUUUGGUCACUUAACUUUAAAAAAUUACAACAUGGUCACUGAACUAUUUGAAAGUAUUUAUUUAAGUCAUUGGGUUAUUAAGUAUUUUUUUUAAAGUUCGGCUAGCGAGCUCCAAGCAAUGAUUCAACGGUUAGUACAAUGGAUUAGUACCUAUCAAAUAGUAGAACAUACCUCAUAUCCAAGUCAAUCUAAUAGUCAAUGUAAGAGAUCGGAGAAGAAAACUGUUUGAAUUUUGAUUCGUAAAUUCAUAACAUUCAAAGUUAUUCUAUGAAAAUAAUUAAAUUGUUGAAGAGAAGGAGAAUAAGAUCUUUUGAUUGGUGUAGACCGUGUGAAUAAAGAAAGCCAUAUAACAGAGAUUUAAUAUCUCAAUGAAUUAAAUAAAAACUUCCGAAUGAUUUAGUGACUAUUUUGUAACUUUUUAAAGUUAAAUGACUGAAAUGUAAAUUUAUUAAUAGUUCAGUGACCUUGGCUGUAGUUUACCCUAAUCAGGUAAUGUAACAGCAAAUUACAUGGUCAUGAAUGUGGGCCCCAAUCCAGACUGUCGAGUCUUGAUCGCCACAUUACAAUGUGUCUUUGUUUGAUAGUUUGAUGACGGUGGGCCCCGAAAUAGCUUCUCAUCCAACGGCUAUUUCUGAUCCAAACACGUUCCUAACUUUUUCUUCUUUUCUUUUUAUAAUCAUCAUUUUUUCUGAUUUUCUCUCCCUCAUUUAUUUAUAUAUUUAUUGAGAGUCUGUCAUCCCGUUGUCAUUAGUUUCUGUUACUACUUCACUCUCCCUCUGUCUUCAAGAAAUGGAUCGUAGAAGUGCAUUUGCCGUUGCUUUGAUUUGCUUUGUGGUGACCGCUGUCGGUGGUCAAUCUCCGGCAGCCUCACCUACUAAAGCUCCGCCGGCAGCGACUACUCCUGCCACUGCUCCCGCUACUGCCCCUGUUAGCAAACCUAAAUCACCGGCUCCAACUGCUGCCCCUACCACUUCCCCACCAACUUCUUCACCACCGGCUGCGGCUCCGGAGAAGUCUGCGGCGGUUCCAGCCCCAUCUAAAUCUGCUCCGGCUUCUUCUCCUCCGGCUGCUGCUCCGGUGAGUUCUCCACCGGCUCCAGUACCUGUGAGCUCUCCUCCAGCCAAAUCGCCUCCCGUUGCUGCACCGACGACUCCACCAGAGAGCUCGGCCUCUCCUCCGGCUCUUGUUGCGGCACCAACUACUGCUGAGGUUCCGGCCCCAGCUCCAAGCAAGAGCAAGAGCAAAAGCAAGAAAUCCAAGAAACACCAUGCUCCGGCUCCUUCACCUGAUAUGCUUGGACCUCCCGCUCCACCAACUGGAGCUCCUGGACCUAGCCUCGAUGCUUCCUCUCCCGGUCCAUCUGUCGCUGCCGAUGAGGUACAUUCUCUUCUCUUUACUAACGCUUCAGUAGCUUACAUCAUAUAACAAUGCGCUUUCAGAUCUGAACUUUUACACUGCAUAAAUGUAGAGAGAUCUUGUUUUUCUUUUAAUCGCGUCUAAAGGAUGCACCGUUGAGCUAGUUCAUUUACUUUUCUGAAAAAGGACCGACCAAUGGAUCUUUUUUUCAUCUUAAAACUAUAUUUAUUUGUAACAUUUAAAGAGUUAUUAUUAACAAAUGCAGAGUGGAGCAGCGGCAAUGAAGAACAUGAAGAAGAUAAUUGGAGGGUUGGCGUUGGGAUGGGCAGCCAUUGCUUUGAGCUUCUAGAUUGGUUUUGAUCACAUUCCACAUUCUGCGUUCUAAUUCUUUGGUUGGUGUACUGAGAGGCGGAAACUCUAGUUUUUUUUUCCUAUGUAAUUUCCACCAUUCUUUUUUUUUCCCCUUCAUUUACCCAUUUUCUGUCUUUUAUUUCUCUAUUAUAUUUUAAUAAAAUCACAAUUUAUUUUACUAAUACCAAUGCUAAUGAAUCUCAAGAUCAUUUGUGCAGGUUAAACAUUGUAAAAGUAACAAAACUGAAACGAUCAUAUAGCUCAUGAACCAUUACAGGGAAAUUGGUUAGACAAUGUUCCAAUGAAAGUACAGGAAAGCUUAAAAUGGCAGCAAAUGCAUAUCUUACAAAUCAAUCUGAAUAUUUAGUUUAAUCUGAAAGAACAGUUUUGAGUAAAAAGUAAUUAGGCAUGGGGGCAUAAACCAGGAGAGACGUUAUUCAUUGGUUCCUAUCGUCUUCUCCCCCGGCUGCAAACACCAGACAGACUUACAUGUAUGAAACUUCUUACAUUCACAAUUGCCACGUAUCAGAAGAAGCACUUCACAAGAGGACUCUACAAAUUAAAAAUUCUCUUUUUCUCUACAACAAAACCCUGUAAAAUGUAAGCCCAAGCAGCAAACCUUCAAAAUGCAUUAUUUGAAGCAUCAAAUGUAUACAAACUGUAUUAGACCCAAUGCCUACUUUCAAGCGUGAUUCGUCCUUAAUUCUAAAGCUUUUAAUUUUAUUGGUUAAUAUUGGUGUUUUUGUCGUUUUCCCAUCAACCCAAAGCCAAAAGCAUGCAAAUUCCCUUCACUUGGAAUAUGGAGAUGGUAAAGUAGAAAAGUAUUCAUAAUACGCUAUGAUAUAUAUAUGCGUGUGUGCGUGUAAAUGGCCACUAUGAAGCGUGUGUGCGUGUAAAUGGCCACUAUGAAGCUUUCUUAUUUGCUCGAAAAAGAAGGCAAAUAUUAAUUAAUAAUAUAUAAUAUUUGGCAUUCAUUAAUAAGACUCAGUGAAAUAAAUAAUUAAGAUAAUAUAAUUAAUUUAAUAUAUACCAGGUUGAUUUAUCCAUUUAUGCUGAAAAAAAAAUCUACAUUUAAUUAUCUAUGUUUUUUUUUUAAUUUAUCAAUGUUGUUUUGAAGAGAGAAAGGAAAGCACGUCUUACAUGGUGCAUUUUCACUGUCUAUGUCAUUGAAAAUGCGUCUUAUAGGGCGUAUUUUUAGCUACGUCAGCUGAACAUGUGUCAUGUUUUCACAAAUUGACAAUUUAGCUCUUUUGAUCAGAUGGUUAAGCGUUAGUGUUUUUAGUCUUUAAGUCUUAGGUUCAAUUCCUCUCCUAUUCAUUUUUAUAAUUUUUAUUUCAUGUUAUUUUAAGUUUUUUUUAAUUAAUAUUUUUGACACAUUAGCUCUUUUGGUUAGAUGAUUAGAUAAUUGUGAUUUCUUCUUUCAGUCCUAAGUUUGAUUCCUUUUAUAAGAAUUUUAAUAUGUAUUUUUUAUUUCAAUUUUUUUAUUAUUUUUAAUUAAUAUUUUUAAUUAAUAAAUAUAUUGUUUUCAAGUUUUUUUAUUUUUUAUUUAUCUUUUUAAUUAAUAACUCUUUUAUUUAUAAAAUCAAAUAAUUAUUGAAAAUAUCAUUAUUUUUAGUAAAUAUAAUUUUUAUUUGUGUAAUUUUUAUCUUUCAAUCCAUAUCAUGAAUGUAGUAAAUUGACAUAUUAUAUAUUUUUGUAUAAUGUAUGAUGAUGAUGAAUAGAUAUAAAUUUAUUAUAUAUGACAAUCCAAUAAUAUAUUCUACGAUUCAUACAAUAUAUGAUGAUGAUGUAUAGAUAAUGAUUGUGGAAGGGUCGAGCUUUAUAGCAUUGAAGAAGAAUAUAGAUCGGCGAUAUUUUAAAACCGAAAAAUCUAUAUUGUGAUGCUGUGCAAAAUAAUAGGAGUGAGCAAAAUUCAUUUGAUCCAAAAAAAUUAAAUUUUGAGUUAAUUGAAUCGAGUUAUUUGAAUUAUUCAAGUCAACUCGAGUAAGUAAUUCGAGUUUCGAGUUCGAAUCGAGUUGAAUUUUACAAUUAAAAUAACUCGAAUAAUUCGAAUAACAUAUUGGUAUAAAUACCUUUUUGGUCUCUGCCAAGUUUGAAAAUGAACAAAUUGACCUCUCUCUCAAUAAAAAUUACAAAAUAAUUUUAAAAUUUCAAAAUAUUUAUAAAAAUUCCAAAUUUAUACUUUUUAAAAAUUAUAAAAAUUUCAAAAAAAAAUCUGAAAAAAUAUAAAGAAAGUUAAAAUAUUAAAAUUUUUCUAGAAUAAUAAUUUUGGGACCUAAAUAAGUUAAUUAAUGAUUCAAGUUUAUCAUACUAAAGUAAUUUUUUUAUUCUGCUUUGAAAAAGUUUUCAAAUAUAUAUGGUUUCAAAUGUAAGUGUUAUAACAUGGAAUUAGUUAUAGUAUAACAAGAUUUUAAUUUAACAUGUUUAAUUUUUUAAUUUAACUCGAACAAUUUCAUUCGAAUUGACUCGAAUUUUAUUUUACUCAAUUCAAUUUGAAAAAAAUUUAAAUCGAGUUAGAAUGAUAAAAUAAAACUCGUUAACUCAAUUAACUCAAAAAUUUUUAAUAGAGACAGUGGAAUACUCACUUUUACAUAAUAAUGUACCGAGAGAGGCCAAAGGGUGGAGGUGAAAUAAUUACACAACUCAACUAUUUUGCAAAACUUUUUUUAAAACUCUAAUAUAUAGAUGAUAAAAAAAAGCCUUAGCCACUUGACAAUUUUUAACGAAAAGAGAGAAGGUUAGGGUGUUUAAGUAUAAUACACGUCACGUUACUCCAGACAAGUUUUGCUUGCAGAGACACAGUUUCUUGCCGGUGAGUCGGUGACCCAUCUCAAAAUAUCACCCGUAACUGCUUUACCCGGUCACGCGGCCGCCUCCUAUUGGUUUGUCUCUUUGCGCAGCCAUAGCCCACUCUCCCUACGUCCAGCUGUCUCACUACUUCAUAACAAUUGUAUCAUUCAAUUAGUUAUUGUAGGUUUAAUUUUUUCCAACCCCUUUACUCUUUCAGCUUUUAAAUUUUAAUCUAUCACCUUUUAAUUCCCUAUCUCUCCUGCUUGAUUUAAAAAUUAAAAUUUAAUUAAUAACAUUUCCAUUCAAUUUAAAUAUAUAUUAUUAUUAUUUUUAGAUCAAAGCUUCGAAUAUUAAAAUUUAACCAAGUUUUCAUGAAUUGGACUUUUAAAUAAAAAUGAAGAGAAACUAAAUUUUUAAAAUCAAAAGUAGGAAGGCUAAAUUUUAAAACCCCAAAGAGUAUAGGGGUUGGGGAUAGAAUUAAACAUUUAUUAUAAUAUUAAUUAGUAGGGUAAACUACACCUAAGGUCACUAAAUUAUUAGUAAAUUCAUAUUUUGGUCACUUAACUUUAAAAAAUUACAACAUGGUCACUGAAUUAUUCAAAAGUAUUUAUUUAAGUCAUUGAGUUGUUAAGUAUUUUUUUAUGACGAUUGAUACAAUGGAUUAGUACCUAUGAAGAGUAGAACAUACCUUGUAAGAGAUCGAAAAAGAAAACUGUUUGAAUUUUGAUUCGUAAAUUCAUAACAUUUAAAGUUGCUCCACGAAAAUAAUUAAAUUGUUGAAGAGAAGAAGAAUGAGAUUUUAUGAUUGGUGCAGACCGUGUGUAUAAAGAAAGUUAUCCAACAGCGAUUUAAUAGCCCAAUGAAUUAAAUAAAAUCCUUCGAAUGAUUUAGUGACUAUUUUCUAACUUUUUGAAGUUGAACGACUUAAAUGUAAAUUUAUUAAUACUUCAGUGACCUUGGGUGUAGUUUACCCUACUCAGGUAAUGUAACAACAAAUUACAUGGUUCAUGUAUGUGGGCCCCCAAUCCAGACUGUCGAGUCUUGAUCGCCACAUUACAAUUUGAUGACGGUGGGCCCCGAAAUAGCUUCUCAUCCAACGGCUAUUUCUGAUCCAAACACGUUCCUAACUUUUUCUUCUUUUCUUUUUAUAAUCAUCAUUUUUUCUGAUUCUCUCCCUCAUUUAUUUAUAUAUUUAUUGAGAGUCUGUCGUCUCGUUGUCAUUAGUUUCUGUUACUACUUCACUCUCCCUCUGUCUUCAAGAAAUGGAUCGUAGAAGUGCAUUUGCAGUUGCUUUGAUUUGCUUUGUGGUAACCGCUGUCGGUGGUCAAUCUCCGGCAGCCUCACCUACUAAAGCUCCGCCGGCCGCGGCUACUCCUGCUACUGCUCCCGCUACUGCCCCUGUUAGCAAAUCUAAAUCACCGGCUCCAACUGCUGCCCCUACCACUUCCCCACCAACUUCUUCACCACCGGCUGCGGCUCCGGAGAAGUCUGCGGCGGUUCCAGCCCCAUCUAAAUCUGCUCCGGCUUCUUCUCCUCCGGCUGCUGCUCCGGUGAGUUCUCCACCUGCUCCAGUACCUGUGAGCUCUCCUCCAGCCAAAUCGCCUCCCGUUGCUGCACCGACGACUCCACCAGAGAGCUCGGCCUCUCCUCCGGCUCCUGUUGCUGCACCAACUACUGCUGAGGUUCCGGCCCCAGCUCCAAGCAAGAGCAAGAGCAAAAGCAAGAAAUCCAAGAAACACCAUGCUCCGACUCCUUCACCUGAUAUGCUUGGACCUCCCGCUCCACCAACUGGAGCUCCUGGACCUAGCCUCGAUGCUUCCUCUCCCGGUCCAUCUGUCGCUGCCGAUGAGGUACAUUCUUUUUCUUUACUAACGCUUCAGUAGCUUACAUCAUAUAACAAUGCGCUUUCAGAUCCGAACUUUUACACUGCAUAAAUGUAGAGAGAUCUUGUUUUUCUUUUAAUCGCGUCUAAAGGAUGCACCGUUGAGCUAGUUCAUUUACUUUUCUGAAAAAGGACCGACCAACGGAUCUUUUUUUCAUGUAACAUUUAAAGAGUUAUUGUAAACAAAUGCAGAGUGGAGCAGAGGCAAUGAAGAACAUGAAGAAGAUAAUUGGAGGGUUGGCGUUGGGAUGGGCAGCCAUUGCUUUGAGCUUCUAGAUUUGUUUUGAUCACAUUCCACAUUCUGCGUUGUAAUUCUUUGGUUGGUGUACUGAGAGGCGGAAACUCUAGUUUUUUGUCCUUUGUAAUUUCCACUAUUCUUGUUUUUAUCCCUUCAUUUACCCAUUUUCUGUCUUUUAUUUUUCGAUUAUAUAAUAAAAUCACAAUUUAUUUUACUAAUACCAAUGCUAAUGAAUCUCAAGAUCGUUUGUGCGGGUUAAACAUUGUAAAAGUAACAAAACUGAAACGAUCAUAUAUAGCUCAUGAUUACAGGGAAAAAAGGAGCUGUUUGGUUAGACAAUGUUCCAAUAAAAGUACAGAAAAGCUUAAAAUGGCAGCAAAUGCAUAUCUUACAAAUCAAUCUGAAUAUUUAGUUUAAUCUGAAAGAACAGUUUUGAGUAAAAAAUAAUUAGGCAUGAGGGCAUAAACCAGGACAGACGUUAUUCAUUGGUUUCUAUCGUCUUCUCCCCCGGCUGCAAACACCAGACAGACUCACAUGUAUGAAACUUCUUACAUUCACAAUUGCCACGUAUCAGAAGAAGCACUUCACAAGAGGACUCUACAAAUUAAAAAUUCUCUUUUUCUCUACAACAAAAACCCUGUAAAAUGUAAGCCCAAGCAACAAACCCUCAAAAUGCAUUAUUUGAAGCAUCAAACGUAUACAAACUGUAUUAGACCCAAUGCCUACUUUCAGCCUCUUCCAGCACUACCAUGUCGUUGGUUCCUGAAGUAGCUCAGAAGUGCCUGUGCCUGUGAUCAACUCAUGCUUAAAUAAUGGUAAAGAAGAAAGGUUUAGUGAGAAAUAAAAGAAAAAAGAACAGCAGAACUAUUACCUUCUCUUUAGCUCUUGGGGUGCCAGUCUGGGACAAUGCCACUAGUGGUGGAACAGCUCCUUCUUGGAGAACCAUAUUGCAAAACCUACCACUGGUUGUGCAGAGUUGUAAAAGGGCAGCGGCAGCAUUUUCCUUUCCUCUCGCUGAGCCCAACUCAACAACCUCGACCAGCACAGGAAUCCCACCCUCCUGCCCAAUAGCAUUCCUCCCUUCAGGAAUUGUAGCAAGAUUAGCCAAAACAGCAACUGCCUUAUCAACCAUUCCAGCUGCUGGGUCCAUCAAGUCCACAAGGUGUCUUACAGCACCGGCUUGCACAAUUCGAGCCUUGUUUUCGUGAAAUAUUGACAGAUUAAACAAAGCGGUAGCUGCAUCUUUCUUUCCCCUAGGGGUACCAUUCCCCAAUAAAUCAACAAGAGGCUUGAUUGCCCCAGACCUUCCAAUCUUGACUUUGUUAUCCUCAAUGACUGAAAGGCUGAAGAGAGUGGCAGCUGAGUUUUCUUUAGCUUCAGGGCUUCCUGUCUCAAGGACAUGAAUCAGAGGCUCAAUUGCAUCGGCAUCAGCAAUUGCUGUUUUGUUGUUAUCAUUAAUUGACAAGUUAAGAAGUGCUGUAACAGCAUUUUCCUGAGUCUUCGUAUCCGGUGAAUGAAGCAAAUCAACUACCAAGACAAUGGCCCCACAGUUCGCUAUUAUAAUCCGAUUAUCCAUAUUGUGCUUAGCAAGUAACCUGAGUUGAGCUGUGGCCUCUCUUUGAGUAUCAACUGAAGUGCACUUCAAGUCCUCCACUAACUUCUUAACCUGGGCUUCAAUGCCAGAAAGGUCAGCCCUGUUCUCAACACCAGGAGAAGAAACUAUUCUUGGAAUGAACCUUUCCGAUGGCCGGCGCCAGAUUGUUUGGCUUCGCGAUCGUGUAUCCAUCAACCGAGGAGGAAACUGAGGUUCUCUUUGUGGAAUGGCUGAGCUAACUCUAGGCUGUGCAUCAGAUUUCACCUCUCCAGAAGCAUCACUAUUGUAGGCUGCGAGAUGAGUUGAACCCUCAGAAGUCUCAUUGGCAUCUCCAACAGCUCCUCGAGGAGAAUCUGGAUUAGGAAGUGCACUAGAGGCUGAGACAGAUCUUGUGUGGUUCUGAGAUGACUGACCAAUAUUGUUAGAAGGUGACACAGGGGGUUCACCAACAGAAUCGCUAUACCUUUGUUCCAACUUUGACCUGUCUUCCACACUGUUUAGUGAUAUUCUUGCAACAUCCAAACCCGCUCCAUUUCCAGCUAUAGCUGGCAAGGAACUUUCUGAGGUAGAAAGAGGAUGUAGUGGGGAGGUUCCCUUGUGAUGAAGUCCGCCGGAUGUGACUAGGUUCUUACCAGCUUGACCUCUAGACCGUGACUCAGGUGACAAUGGUUGGCUGCUUCUAGGGGGAGGAAAACUAUUUGAAUCCCUUGGCAAGCCAGACUCUGCGUGCACAAGAAGGGGGUAGGAUUGGUCUAAACUGAUGGACUUUGUGGGAUUAGGCAACUUCACAUUGUUUGACUCGCACCAAUUUGCAAUUAGUGCCUUUACUGUGUAAUUAGGUAUAAGAGUGGUAUGAGCCAAAGUUUGCCGUGUCUUGGGGCACACAGUGAGCCCAAGACUAAUCCAGUUCUUGAUGAAAGCCCGCUCAUAGGUUUGGCCAGAUGCCACAAUCACUGGAUCAGUCAUUAGCUCUAGGGAAAGGGGGCAGCAGAAAUCAGCAGGUAUUGGAACUGGGCUACAGGUCUCAGAUUGUUUCAUUGAUACAAGACGAUCAUGCAUGCGAUUUACAAGAGCAAUAAUUUGAUCAAUAAACUCAGCUUCUGCAGUUUUUUCAGCUUGUUCAGCAUUCUCCUUCAACUUUUCAAGGGCCACAGCCUCUAUCAGAAUCUCCUGGUUUGACCUCAAACUCAAGUUCUCUGCAAUUUUCACUAUUAUGUCCGAGGAUGGUCCAACACUAUCCACUUGAUCCCGUAUGGCUUCCCUGAUGACAGAUGAUGCUUGCUCAUAUGCUACAUGCUUAAUUUUCUGCAAGCAGUGCUGCAAUCAAUUGCUAAUAGUUAAACAUCCUGAAAUGUGGAAUCCCCCUUAGCAUUCUUUGAACUCAGAAAUUAAAUCAAAAUGAAAGCUGCAUAUUUUUUCACAUCUCACAACUGUAUACUUAGAUGCCAUUCACGCUCCAAUACAUGACAGUUUUUUGGUAAUCAUUGUGAGAAUACAAUAAUUAUGCUGUAUUUAUAAAACUUAAAUGCAAGAUGAAGAGUACAAUCUUCAAAUAAAAGUAAAAGCUUGAAUUAACUUGGGUUUUAAAUUACCUCAAGAGAUGCUGAACUCAAUUCAUCAGGCAGAUGCUGAUGGGAAGACUUCAAGAACUGGAAUACAUCAAGGCUAAAAUUCCAAAUCUUCGAUAUUAAGGACUCAACUUGCAGAACCUAAAGGUCAAGUGAAAGAGAAGAUAGUUAUCCAAGUGCAUUUAACUAAAGGACAACACUAAUUGACUGACAGUACCUUAAAAGAAAAUUAUAUUCUUUUAUAACAUUAUUUCCUAAAAGGGCACCCAUAUAUAGCAAUUUUCCACCUAAAUAUGAGCGAACAUUCAAGAAUCAGCACUUAGGGGCUAAACUUAUUCCAAAAGCUAUACAUUCCAACAAUCUCUUAGGACAAACAUGAUGAUGUUCUAAUAACCAUAAGAAAUUAGAAGAAAAUGUGAUCAUAGACCAUAGUGCAGAAAACAUCCACAAGAAUUAACUGUAAAAUGACAGCAAUAAUCUACAACAUGCAUCUCAUAUGAAAAUAUUAAUGUUCAGAUGGGUAAUUGAUUAAAUCUUCACGAUAUAAGGUGAAUGUCAAUGCCUAAAUGUUUACCUUAGGUACUUCUUUUCCAGUCAUAAGUGGACUAGAAUUGCUAAGUGAAGAUGUGAACUCAAGUAACUAGUAACUUACAAAGUAAACUUUACUCAAAAGGGGUUGCCAGCUCUCGAAUUGCUCUCUCAAUUCUUCUAUAGAGAGACUCAAUCCUUCAAAUGCCUUACCAAGCACUUUAUCAGAAGUAAUUUCUGAAUCAAUAACUGCGCUAAGAAUUGGCUUCAACAACUUUAGUAUCUCUUCUGCUCUCUGGUAAAACUUCUGAACUGGUUCUGAGUUAAUGUUCUCAAAAGAUGACAAAUUUAAAAAUGAGGAAAUGUUACCGAGAAGUGCUUUUAACAAAGAAAUCUCCAUAUGAUCUGGGUAACAAAAAAAGUCAGAGAGAUCGCACGUAAGAAAGAGCAGAAGGAGAAAAACUAUAAGAAUAUAAUAAGCAAACAAAAGAUGCAAGUAUCUUUGUCGUGAAACAACAGGGAGAAAACUUUGGGCCUAAUUACUUUAGUUUAACAACAUAAUUCCUUUCUCAGCAUUCAAUUUAACCUAAAGCAAAAUAUCAAUGAACUAGAGCUUAUUCUGCCAACAUAACAGUUAUUUCAUAACCGAACUAAUACAGGAAAAAAUGCAUGAACUCAUUUGCAGAAGUUUGGAGGGUGAAAAAAGUGAAGCCAGAAAGUCACUUACAACAAGGUACAUACCGUGUUUCAUAAAUUCUAACAGCAAAAUCCUUUCUCAAUAAUGGAUGACGAAUCCUUUGGAAACCAUAUUAUUCCAAAAAACUCAAGAAAACCCUUUUGAACAUCAGCACCAUAGCUCAUGUAGCACACUAUCUUGAUAACAAGAACCAGACAGGUUCUAGAAAUCCACUUUUGCCAACCAGUAAUCCCACUGUAGAAUCAAAAUUUUAGAUCAAGCUUGAUUGAAACUUAAAAUAUUAAGAGCACGAACAAAAAAAAAAAUUUAAACCAUCAAAUAUAAUAUUUACCACCAAAACACUCACAGCAAUUACAGCAAAGUUUCCUUAAAAAGUUCAUUAUGCUGAUAAUUUUCCUAGCAUCCAUGAAAUGUAACAAACGCAAACCUAAAAGAAAUAACCAAGAGCAGCGACCUCUCCACAUUAAACAUAACACGAUCCCCAUUCACCCACUACCAAAGAGAGUUACUUGACUAAAAACAAGCCAAACCCUUCUCAGAUUAGAUAAAAUGAAUUUGCCUUUACUCCAAUACUUCGUAAGCUUCUGUACUACCUGCAGUCCCUCUUCACUACUGCCCUAAUUUCUAGGAAAUCAACAAUUAGUUAUUUGGAUAUAUUUCUCCUAUUGCACAUCAGACACACCUUUUAGAAAAGAAAAAAGACACUAUUAGAACAAAAUAACCGGAUAAGACUACUGGGAUAAAGAGCCAUCCUAUACAAAUCAAUCAGUUGAUGCUUCAAAUCAAGGACAUAAAGGCCUCAACAAGAAUUACAAAAACAAACAUAAAAUGUCGUGGGAACCAUGGUCAAGUUCCACAUGCUACUAGAUGAAAACAAGCGCGCUGUAAUGAAGCUACAAAUUUACCCAAACCAUUACUUCCAAAACCUAUCAGAAAUGGUUUCUAAUAUCAUUUAUAUUUCUUAGUUUAUAAUUUACUUGCUUUCCAAGUUCCCAAUAACAGAAUAGUAAAGUCACCACUUAAUCAAAUCGUUUUAGAACUUAAUGAUUUUGGCACUCCUGCAUAUUAGUGUCAUACUCGUUAAAAAAAUUAAUUUGUUCAUUGAACAAAUAUAAGCUGUUUUUCGCACUUUCCCAGCAGCAAGGCAGAAAAAUAAAUGAAUAAAACUUAACCCUAAAACCCCAUCAGUGGUCCUUCAAAUAUAAUUUAUCCAAAACACCCACUUAGCCUUUCAAAAUCAUACUAUGAAACAAUAUGAUCAUAAAGGAAGUAAUUAGAUCAAAUGAGUUUACUUAUUAUUUCAAAAAAAAUACCCAACUCCAAAUAAGUAAACAACAACACAAAUGCAUAUAUAAAAACCAAAAAGAUAAUUGAACUCAACAAGAUAAAGAGAGAUUUCCAAAGCCAAAGAAAAAAUUUAGUACCUUAAUGCAGCUUUGAAUUUUGGGUUUUUUUUCCUUCUUGUUUAUUGAUAUCGCUAAUCUUUCCAAAAAGAAAAAAUAAAUAAGUCCCAGAUUUCGCUAUCCUGUUGCUGGGUCUUCAGGCCAUUCUUUUUCCUUUUUCAAGCUUUUUUUUUUUAAUUUUUGGGGAUUAGUUUCUUUUUUUAAUUUAUUUAAUCGUUUUGCUGGCGUUGCUUAGUUGGAGAUUGGCAGAUUCUCGUCGUUUUGGAAUUUCUUUAUGGGUAUUUUGACUGGAAUUUUAGAAUUUAUUUUCUUUUAUACUUUUAUGAUUGGCCAAAAGUAGUAAUCCUACUUCAUGUAAUAAAUAACUAAAUAUGCUUACAAAUAAAAGAAUUUUCAUUAAAAAUACCCUUAUAUAUAAAUUUUAUGCAUUUAAUUUGCCACUAAUUUUAAUCUAAUUGCUACAGUUAUCAAUCUUAUCAUCCCCGCUGAUUUUAGCUUUAUUGGAACCAAGCUGAUAUCCAUCUAAAUGGAUCCUCUUAAAAUAUAGGCAUAAUGACUUGAAUCUCUAAUUUUACAAAAAAGAAAAUUAUUUUUACUAUUUAUUUAAUUUUUCGUCUUUUUUAUCAAAUCUCUUCAAAAUAGAUAGAAAAGUUAAUUUUUUUUUUAAAAUUUUGUUUAUGAUACAUACAUAUAGAUUGCCACAUGAAUGACACGUCAACAAUGUUAACUUUUUAUUUAUUUUGAGUAAUUUGACAAUAAAUACAAAUUCAAGAGUUAAAAUGGCGAAAAUUUAUAUGGGAUUAAAAUAAAUUUUUUUAAAUUAGAGGAUCAAUAUGUUAACUUAUUUAAUAAUUUAAAUAUUAAUAAAUUAAUAAAUAUUUUAAAUUUUAAUUAAAUCAUUUUUACCGUAUUCAAUAUACAAUAUGUAAUCAAUACAAAACAUCAUUAUACAAAAUAAUAAUUAAUUGAAAUAAUUAACAUAGAAAUUAUUUUAAAAAUUCAAAUAAAAUGCUAAUAAAAAAAUUUAAUCAUUAUUAAACCAUUUGUAACUAUGAAAAAAUUCAAAAUUUUAACAUUUUAUUUUCUGAGUAAUAUAUAUUUUAUUUAGAGUAGAUUAUUCAAGUACAAGCAAUACGAAAUAUUGGUGUUUCAAUCUUUUGAAAGCAGUCGCAAUAUUAAUAGAUAUUUUAGAAUCAAAGAAUAUGAAGAAAAAAAAAGCAAUUUGUUAAAAGCAAUCCUAAUAUUAGUAGAAAUUUCUAAAAUCAGAUUUACAAUAAAUAAAUAAAAAAAAACAAACAAAUGCAACAGUAAAUUGAAAUACAUGUUUUGUUGAAAAGCUGGUUCAUGUAUAUCCGGCUUGGACAAAGUUUGAGGUAGAUUUUCAAAAUUACAGUGUUUGGUUCCUUGAAAUGGUUGAAAAGAAUGUUUUUGUUAAGAGUCUCACUCACUCCAAUCCUCUAUAUCCAGCAAGAUAUGAUAAAUCUAUUGUUUACAACACUGUUGUUUCAAACAGUAAUCCCUCUAGGAGGCUUUCAUCAAUAUUGGCAUUUGGUAGUAGGUGUAAGGUGUUUCGAGCUUUCUGAUACCAUGCCUUGCCAAGGGUGUCUAAGAUCGACUUCUUUGAUUCGAUAUGCCGCUUUAGGGAGUAUCAAACAACGAAAAGCCUCGAGAAACAAGGUAAAUUAUAAAUGCAAGAUUUGCGCCUGUAAAGGCAGACACUAUGCUUGUGAACAUUUGGCCACUCACUUCGGAGGAGAAGAAAUUGAGUAAAAGAUACCCGUUGAUCACGAUCACCAGCGCUGCCACAAUCCAUGCCACUGUCUGCAGAAGAGAGGGGAAAACGUAAACAAGGCGAAUUCUUUAUUGACAGGAUCUACAUGCAGUAACCACAUUACUUUGAGUGUUGAUAAGGCAAUCAUCACUCACUGACAUUUCCUUUUCUAUGCUUAGUAGGGAAAAUAUUGAUGAACUGAAGCAGGUAUGAAGAUGUUGAUCACCAAAUAAGUGGAACUUAUAAAAUAGCAUGAGUCUAUAGUUUGCGUGAUGGAACGGUACAAGCACUUAGUUCAUGACUAGGUGUAGAAAAAGAGCUAGGUUAUAUCAAUGGCUUCAAGGAAUCCCAGUAUAACAGUGUAUAUGAAUGGAAAAUGUAAUGAAACUAGAACUCUCAAGAGGUAGCUUUUAGACAACAAAAGUUGUACAUUGUCCCCUGCUAAAAGAUGGAAUGGAAGAAGUUCUAACUGCUAUCAGGGUCGCUACAUCGUUUUCAAUGAACCGAUUUCGCAUUUAUAUAGCUCAUGCCACAGUCAGUGGCAGGAGAGACGGGUUAAUGUAUUAGCAAGGUGCAACACAAGGAGAAUAGCAGCAUACCUUGAGUACAUGGCCAAUUCUGAAGGCACCCAUGAUUUGUUCUUUGGAUACCAGACAAAGAAGUGGGAUAAGAGCAAAAGGGAUCUGAAAUGACUGAAGCACAUUAAGCCAUUCGUUCAAUGUAUCAAGGGCUGCUUCAGACGAAUCGAAAACAAGAGCAACUAUAAUAGUAGGAAUAAUUGCACAACUCCUUGUGAUCAAAGCUCUUACCCAUUUUUUCAACUUCAGCUUCAAGAAGCCUCCCAUGAUGAACUGCCCUGCAUAAGUGCCUGUAAUAGUGCUACUUUGUCCAGCUACUAACAACCCAAUAGCCCAAAUAUACAAAGUGGGGAGUAACCCGCCUCCAUAUUUUUCUUCAAGAUACUGGCCUGCAUUCCCAAGACCAAUACCAGUGGCUAUUUCUGUGUCAUAAAAUGCUUUAGCAAAGACAGUGGUAACAAACAGGUUGAUUAUAAAUGAAAUUAUAAGUGCAGCAGUCGACUCGAUCGAGUAAUAAUUGAGAGCUUCUUGCACCUGGCCUUUCUUGUUACGAUCGAUUUCGCGUGAUUGCACUAGAGCAGAGUGCAAGAAUACAUUGUGAGGCAUAAUAAUGCAGCCCACAACUCCCACAGCCUGCUUGAUGGUUUUGGAGCUGAGUUUUGGAACCGAAACACCUGUGAAAAUAUGAAACCAUUUGAGCAUCAGUGAACUGCAAUACUAAAUGAAAUUUAUUGAGAUAUAUGAAGCAUGGAAUUUGCUACAAUGGAGCCGAGUUAGUCACCGUGAAGAAGCUCGGUGCCACUUGGUUUUGUUUCACCGACCAUCCAAGCAAAUGAGACGGCCAUUGUUGCAAUAAGGACAGCAAAAAAUGCUUCCAGCUUCCUCACUCCAUAGUUUUCAAGAAACAAGAAGAUAAAACUGUAACAAGCCAAAGAAAACGAAGAACCAGGUGAGCAUACAAAAUAAACCGAAAACCUUGAAAAUUCAGACAUCGUAUAUCAUAAAGAAGCAACCUUUAAUGCACACAAAUACUUCUAACAACAAUAAUAAUAACUCCAAAUAUCAACAAGAACACUAACCAAUCACUAGCCGUAAUAAGAACUCCAGCCCACAAAGGCAAAGCACCAUUACUCAAAAUCUUAAUAGCAAUAACACUUCCAAUGACUUCCUGUAUAUCAGCUCCAACCAAAGCCAGCUCUGCCAUCACCCACAAAACCAUCCUAUCCCAAGUCGGGUACUCUUCGCUACAAAGCUCAGCCAAGUGUUUCCCUGUCGCCACACCAAGCCUUGCAGCCAACAACUGAACUAACAACCCCAUAGCCGUAGCCCACAUCAACAGCCACAGUAAAGAGUAACCGGCUAUAGCUCCGGCUUGGAGAUCGCCUUCUAAAUUCCCAGGGUCCAAAAACGCUAUUGACAUUAAAAAACCGGGUCCGGUGAAAAGCCAAAGCUUUUUCCAGGAAAAAGGUGGGACGACACCCAGUGAAGCUUCAUCGUCUGGUUCGUUGAUUCCAAGGAUGUGGACCUUUUCACCGGAGUCGUAGGCAACAUCCUCGUCCGAGUCUUGAUCGGAUAGUAACGGAACCUUAUUGUCUUCCGGUUGCAUGUUGGGGUGUAGGCAGCGUCUAGUGGAGGGUGCUUUUGGCUUUUGGACUUGGUUUGAACAAAACUAAAACGAAAAGGACAACUACCGUUCCUUCCCACCAUUGCUCGUGGGCUUUCCUUUUUCGCCUUUAGUGCCUUCACUUCUUUUUUUUUUUUUUUUUUUUUACCAUAUACUAUAUAUUUAUGGGAUUCUUGGUAAUUUGCCACAUACAUAAAUGCAAUGGCUAGCAAAUUUCUAGAAUAAAAAUGAUAGAAUUUAAACUUCAGCAUAAAAAUUGUAAAAUUUCUUUAAAGUAGAAAGGUUUAAUCGAAUCAAAUUUUUAAUUUUAAAUCCAAUCUUACAUUUGAGUUUUAAUCUAUUUAUCAGGAAAUACGUUAAAAUUAUUAUAUUAAGUUCAUUAAUGUAACAUUUUGAAAUAAAAAAAAAUUACUCACUUAUAAUCAUUUAAAAGAAAUUGUAAUAGAUUUAAAUUUAACAUAAGAAUUAACAAUAUUAAUAAUUAGAUUUAUAAUUUUAAAUCUUAAAAGUAGAGAGAUUAAAAUUUUAAAAAUAAAAAUAUAAGAACUAAAUUAUAAAUAUAUGAAGAAUAUAGAGCAUAUUUUAACAAAUUUCUUAUAGGUUAAAUUCAACUCGAUUUCAUGUCAUGACUCUGUUUUUUCUCUAUGAGCUUUUUGGAUUGAAAUAUAAAUUUUUUUAAACUUAUAGCUACAAAAUGCGUUUAAGAAAAAAAUAAAAAAAAAUAAAUUUAGCCCUUCACUAAAUUUACAAUCAAUUGAGCUUUCGAUAAUAGUCUUUAUAUUUGAUUAUGUUGACCGUUAAAAUUAAUUGGCAGACCAAUAAAAUAGUGGCACGUGUGAGUUUAUAGUUUAAUCUUAUAUUUUUUCAUUAAAAAUAUUAAAAAACAUAAAGAUUAUAAAAAAUUAGAGUAAACUAUCAAAAUAGUCACUUUUGUUUGCCUUAGGUCACAUUUUAGUCACUUAUGUUUGAAAUGUUAUGUUUUAGUCACUUACGUUAUCAUGUUGUAACAUUUUAGUCACUAAGCCAUUAACAGUGUAAUGGUAAGCUAAGGUGGCACGUUAAAUCAUCAUUUUAAAUAAAAAUUUUAGGAGAAAUUCUACAAUUGAUCCUUAUAUUUUUUUCCAUUUUGAGCAAUUUAAUUUUUUUUCUUUUAUGUUCUUUUAACUUUCUUUUUUUUUCCAUUCUCUUCUGCUUCUCCCUCUGUUUUCCUCCUUUUUUUCAUUUCUUUUAACGUAGUUUUUCCAUAUUUUUCAUUUGUUAAAACUAGUCCACAAGCUUGUCUUACUCGAAAAAAUUAAAUUGUUAAAAAAAAGUAUUGGGACUAGUUUUAACAAAUGGAAAACAUAGAAAAACUACGUUAAAAGAAAUGGAAAAAGGAGGAAAACAGAUGGAGAAGCAGAAGGAAAUGGAAAAUAAAGGAAAAAAAGAAAGUUAAAAAAUAAAAGAAAAAAAUUAAAUUGCUCAAAACAAAAAAAUACGGGGACCGAUUGCAUAAAUUAACCUAAAAUUUUUGUUUGAAAUGAUGAUUUAACGUGCCACGUCAGCUUAUCGUUACAUCGUUAACGACAAUUAACGGCUCAGUGACUAAAAUGUUACAACGCGAUAACAUAAGUGACUAAAACGUAACAUUUCAAACAUAAGUGACUAAAAUAUAACCUAAGGUAAACAAAAGUGACUAUUUUGAUAGUUUACUCAAAAAAUUAUAAAAUUUAUAAAAUUCUAAUAAAUUAUAAAAAAAAUUAAUAAAGCAUAUUUAAAAUAUUUAAAUCUUAUAAAAACUUAUAAAUAAUAAAAAUCUAAUAAAUUAUAAAAUUAUUAAAAAUUAGAAAAAUUAAAAAUUAUAAAAAAAAAUUAUUUAAACACUUAAAAGCAUAAUGAACACAUGACAUUAGACCAAUAUUUGGAUAAUGAGAAUAGUCAUCAAAUUGUUAGGAUCAAUUUCAUGUUGAGUAAAAUGUUCUUGAUCCUCUGCAAAUAAAACAAUAGUUGCAGGACCCUUUUAUUUUUAUCAAUAAAUUAUUUUUGUAAAAUUUUUAUCUCUAAUUUUCUAAGUAUAGUACAUGGACUUAAAAAGUUGAAAAGUGUAUGCUAACUAUGUUAUGAUAUAAAGUAUUUUUGGUACAAUUAGAAACUAUCAACUAAAAUUUCAUUAUCCAACAAUUACAAAUAUUAGCAUAUCAAUAUAAAAUAUUUUAACCAAGGUUUUUAAAACUGGACCAAUAGUUGAACUAACUAGGCCAUUGAUUCUACCAGUUCAAUUGUUCUGUUUAGUUCAAUUAAAUAAAUCAUUAAAAAAAUUUAAAAAUAAAAAAGUAUUAAAAAAAAGACCAAUUACUUAAAAUUUUGGCAAAAAUGUUUUUGGCAAUUUUUGAAAAUAAGUAUGAUUUUAAAUGCUUAGUUGUUGUCUUAGUCCAGUUAGUAAAUAUGAUACUUUGUAUCCGGAUCCUUCGAUCGGGUCGGGUAUAAGGUGUUAUAAUAGUGGUAGUUUAUUUAUUUAGAAUAAAUUUUAAUUUUUGGAAAUUACGAUAUUUAUUGGUUUUUUAUUGAGAGAAUUACUUUCAUAUUGAAAGUAAGUUUCGUAUUCUGUGUUUGGUUGGUAUUGCUUGAGCCCACACUCGACAUAUUUCGUGGUAUGAGGAUAGUAGAGAAUGUCAUUCGGUUGAAAAUCAGGAUCGACUUGAAUUCAACUCGCACAAAACAUGAGUACUUAUUGAUAAAAGUUUAUUACUAUAAAUAUCACAAAUUAAGUCGGUUUUAAAAAAUUUUAAACUUUCACUAUAAAUAUAAAUUGUUUUUUAAACCGGAUUCUUCCAACAAUCCUUGAAAUUCCGAAUAGCUUGUAGACAUCUGAGACUCCUACGAUGCGAAGGACUCAUGGCUAAUGCUCCCUGUGAGAUAUUGGUGCAAUUGAAGGCUUUUCCCAUAAUUUGCUAGCAAUUAUAAGGGCUUACCAACUCUCCGGAUUGCUUUCUUGAACUUGCAAGAAGGGAAUUGUAAAACUUUCAUUCCACACCCUGAUGCUCAAGUCAAACAUAUUGAAGAGAGAAAAGAGAUAAACCAUGUGAUUUGGGGACUUAUGAGAUGGUUAUAAAUGGUGAAGGGGGUUGCCAUUUAUAAGAUGAUUGGAGACAACUAGAGAUUCAAACGUUACGCUCUUAUUAAGAGCUUAAUAGGUGGUAGGUGUCAAUUUCGUGUUGGAAGCUUAGGGUGCACGAGCAUUGAAAUAGGGGAUUUCUCUCCAACAUUCCAGCGUGGGCCUUCUUAACUUUGUGGUCUUCUUCUUUGGGCCGCCUUAUGUGAUAUUGGUAAUGUAGUCUCUAAUGGACUCAAAUAUGGGGACUCAAAGAUCUAGAGUCUGAGUUGUACCCAAAUAAGUAUUUUUUGCUUGUUAUCCGUUCAGUCUUCAAAUAAUCAAAUGUUAUGUAUUCGAUAAUUUGAAAUCGUAAGAUUAAAAUUUCAAGCAAAAAUAUAAAAUUAGAUGCAAGCAUAAUCUGAACUUGUUAGGUACUUCUGUUCCACUCGACUCAAGUUUGUUUGAAAUCUAUGUUGGAUAAGGUAAAAGUACAAAGCAAGCAGAUCUAUGAGUAUACUCUGUAAAUCAAAAUGCUUAUCAAAAGCUUGUGAGUGCCUGAAUUGUUGAGACUUUGCUUCAUUCAAGCAUGUCCUCAGCUUUUCACUUCUCCUCCACUGCCAACACCCUCCAUAAACCGUAGCACUCUCUCAUUCGCCGCCGUCACCAACUUUCCACCAUCACCAGACAAGCUAGCUCUUCUUUUAGAUAAAUCCAGCUCCAUCCAUCACUUGCUCCAAAUCCACGCAGCUCUUCUCCGCCACGGCCUUCAUCAACACCCCAUCCUAAAUUUCAAGCUUCAACGCUCUUACUCUUCUCGAGGCCGUCUCGACUAUUCACUCGCUCUCUUCAAUCGAACUCUCAACCCCAACAUCUUUUUCUACACUUCUAUCAUUAACGCCCACGCCCUCCAUGGUCUCUCCCAAGAAGCUUUAUUUAUCUAUACGCAAAUGUUAUUUGAAGGUGUGCAGCCUAAUGAGUUCACUUUCUCUUCCAUAUUGAAAUCUUGUUCUCUUGAGCAUGGAAAAAUGCUUCAUUCUCAAGUUAUCAAACUUGGGUUUGAUUCAGAUUUGUAUGUAAAGACAGGUCUAGUCGAUGUUUACGCGAGAGGGGGUGACGUUGGGUCCGCCCGUCUCGUGUUCGAGAGAAUGCCAGAGAAGAGUUUAGUUUCUUUGACCACGAUGCUAACUUGUUACGCGAAACACGGGGAGCUUAAGGAGGCAAGGUUGCUGUUUGAUGGAAUGGUGAAGAAGGAUGUGGUAUGUUGGAAUGUGAUGAUCGAUGGGUAUACUCAACAUGGAAUGCCCAAGGAAGCUUUGGUGCUUUUCAGGCGAAUGUUGGCAGCGAAAGCUAGGCCUAAUGAAAUCACUAUACUAACUGUUUUAUCAGCUUGUGGUCAGCUUGGAGCUUUAGAGUCAGGCAGAUGGCUUCAUUCCUAUAUGCAAAAUAAUGAUAUUCAAGUGAGUGUUCGUGUUGCUACUGCUUUGAUUGAUAUGUAUAGCAAAUGUGGGAGCCUGGAGGAUGCAAGAUUAGUGUUCGAUAAGAUUUAUUAUAAGGAUGUUGUUGCAUGGAAUUCGAUGAUUAUAGGGUAUGCCUUGCACGGUUUCAGCCAAGAUGCAUUGGAGUUGUUUCAUGAAAUGUGCAGGAUUGGUUUGCGCCCUACUGAUAUUACUUUCAUUGGUGUUUUGGGUGCAUGUGGUCACGCUGGUUUGGUCAAAGAGGGAUGGAGUUUUUUCAAUGCAAUGAGAGAGGAGUAUGAGAUCGAACCCAAGAUCGAACAUUAUGGAUGUAUGGUAAACCUUCUUGGUCGUGCUGGUCGAUUAGAAGAGGCAUAUGAGCUUGUGAGGAACAUGAAGGUAGAGCCUGAUCCCAUCUUGUGGGGAGCUUUGCUUGGGGCAUGUAGGUUACAUGGUAAUCUUGAAUUGGGAGAGAAAAUAGCAGAGUAUCUUGUCAGCCACAAUCUUGCUAAUUCAGGGACUUAUAUUCUUCUUUCCAACAUGUAUGCUGCAAAAGGCGAUUGGGAAGAGGUGGCGAGGAUAAGGACCUUGAUGAAAGACAGUGGAGUGCAGAAGGAGCCUGGUUGUAGCUCAAUUGAAGUGCACAAUAGGGUUCAUGAGUUCCUUGCUGGGAAUUUGAAACAUCCAAAAACCAAAGAAAUAUAUGAGAUGUUAGAGGCAAUGAAUGGUUGGCUCAAAGCUCAUGGUUACACCCCACAAACAGAGAUUGUACUACAUGACAUAGGGGAUGAACAAAAAGAGCAGUCACUUGAAGUUCACAGUGAGAAGCUGGCGCUUGCAUAUGGUCUAAUCAGCACUCAACCGGGGACCCCUAUCAAGAUCGUAAAAAACCUCCGGGUGUGUUCAGAUUGCCAUGCCGUGACCAAGUUGAUUUCUAAGAUCACCGGCCGUAAAAUUGUAAUGAGGGAUCGGAAUAGGUUCCACCAUUUUGUGAAUGGUUCAUGUUCUUGCGGGGACUACUGGUGAUCAAUAAAAAAGUUAGACCAACAUUCUAGUUUUGUUGAAAUACAGAAGCUAGAAUUGAAUUAGACGCUCAAAACUGAUGCCCUUUGGUUUAGUAAGACGAACUUGCCGUAGAAUGGGAUUAGGCCAUCUUAUUUUAGGCGUCUUCUUGAGGUCAUUGAUUCAGUGUUUUAAAUGCGAAAGGGUGGGAGAGAAGGAAAUUUACAUGACUGAACCAUCGAGGAUGAAUCCAACUUGUAUAUUGAUUUUUAUUUUUAAAGAUUUUAAUAUGUGUAUAACCAUAUUUAAUAUGUCCAUGUAUUUGUUGGGCUCGAGUGUUUUAUUUAAAGAACAAAAAAUCUAGAUAAACGAAAUUAAACUAUGCUAUCGUGUGUAUAUAGAAUCUAAAAUAAAGUUUUAUGCAAAGAAGGAAAUAAUUUUAGGUCUCGAUUCGCUAGUAUAUUAUACUAUUAAUCACAAUAAAUAAUAAUUUCAUCCAAUUUUACAAUUAAUUUAAUUUUAUUAUUUUUAUUUAGCCAUUACUUUUAGGUAUAAUGCCAAAAUUUUGUUAACAAAUACAUUUUCUUUCAAUUUAGUCCUUUUCUUUUUUUAAAUUAAAUUUAGUUUUUAACUUUUUAAAAAGAGUCGAAUUUGACUAUUAACUUUUCAAAAAGUCAAAUUAUUAUUUAAAACGAAAAUACUGACUAAAAUAUUAAAAUUUUAAAUAUGAUAACCUGUAUGGCAAUUCACAUGUACUUCAUAUAUUUUUUAAUUUUUAUGAAAUUUUGUUGGAUUUUGAAUUUUUUAAUAUUAUUGUAAUUUUUAAAUUAUUUAAAUAGUGCAAUGUUAGCAUGAAGUACAUAUGGACUAUUACACGAGUUACCACGCUGACAUUAUUAAAAAAUUAAUAUUUUAGUUGAUAUUUUCAUUAAAAAAUUAACUUUUUGUAAAUUUUAAUAUUCGAUGUACCAUUUAAUUUUUCCUUUGUUUUUUUUUGUUGCUUUUGUAAAAAUAAAAAUUCUCAUAGAAUGGAAAUCAUUCUAAUCUCAAAAUUUAAAAUUAAACAUUUAUAGUAUUAUGUUUUAAUUUUUUAAUCAUGAAAUGUAAUUAAAAGUAAUUUAAAUAAUAUAUACAAUUAGAGCUGAGCAAAAUUCGAUUCGAUUUGAAAAAUUCGAUAAAAAAUUAAAAAAUUGAAUUAAAUAGUUCGAGUUAUUUGAGUUAAUCAAGUUAUUCGGAUAAACUCGAAUAAAAAAAUUAAGUUUUUCGGUUUAACAUGAAUAUGAAUUAUACAAUUCGAGUUAUCCAAAGAUCCGAAUAAGAAAGGGCAAAACUACGUCGUUUUGAUAAAUGUUUACCUUUUCUAAAAUUAAAAGUCAAAAUUAUUAAGUUAAAAGGAAAAAUUACGUCCUUUUGAUAAAUGUUUACUCAUUAAGUUAAAAGACAAAACAAUUAUAUUGUUUAUGUAGUUAAAUAAUUUUGUAUUUCAUCUACUAGUUAAAUAAUCGGUCCAUGUAAACAUAACAUUGAGUAUAAAUAAUAUGAUUCGUUAACUCGACUCAAUUCGAUUAGAUUAGAUUAAAAUAAAAAAUUCAAAUUGAAUUCAAUUGCUAAAAUGUAAUUCAUCAACUCGACUAACUCAAUUCAACUCAACUCAACUCAACUCAACUCAACUCAACUCAAUCAAAUACUCACCCCUAAAUACAACUCACCUAACAUCGUCCAAGUAAAAACAACAAAAACUAGUGUAUAUAUGCACAAUAAACUGGUCAUAGAAUGAAACAAAAAUGACCGAAUCCAUUUUUUAUUUAUUAUUAAUGGUGGGAUGUCAUUAAAGUUUUCAUCGCCAUAACUUCUUUACUUUUGUAAAUGUCAUCCCGCCUAUAUGGUCAAGCAUCAUUUUCCAAAAUGGGUAAGUUUUCAUUUUCUUUUUUGGGAUAAUGCGAUAUUUGCCCCCUUUACUUUAGUAAUAUUUUCAAAUGUGAUAUCUAAAGUUUCAAAAUGUCCAAUGUGUCCCUUGUAUUUUACUUCUGUCUUCUAAAAAGAUAACGGGGUCUAACUACGUUAAUGCUUGACAUGUUAGGACACAUGGGCAACUCUUAUCAAGCCACAUUUCACAUUUUUGCAAAAAAAAAAAAGCCAAGUCAAGUCAAGGGGCUUUGAAACAAUUUUACCCUUUUUCAAGGCAAAAAAAAAAGAAAGAAAAAAAAUAAAACUUCAUUAAAAUCUUUUUGUAAUAUGCUUCUAAUUUUAAUCCCAAAACCCAUUGAUUUCCCUUUUUCCAUAACUAAAAAGAGUCCUCAUUUUCAAAUGCAAACCUUCAUUUUCCACCACCACUAUCACAGAGCUUGAGCCUAUUUUCACCAUUGUCAAGUCCUUCACCCCAGCUGUGGUGGCAAAUCUUGUUCCAAGUUUUGACUUCCUUGGCAUUGCCAUUGAUGGCCCUGGUAAUGUUUUCAUUUCAGAAUCUUUAGGGGUUUCGAUUUCAAACACCCAUUUUUAUUUAUGAAGAGAACAUCCAACUUUUAGGAUUUUAGUUUCAAUUACUAUUUGGGGAAAUAAAAUUUAUAAAUUAAGAUUUUGAUGGGUUUCGAUUUGGAAAAAUUGAUUUUGUGGGGAUUCUUCUAACACCUCAAUACCUGACCCGAUCGCCAGACUCGAGAUAUAAGAUGUCACAUUUGUUGCCGAAGCAACUACGAUCGGUCACAGUCAAUUUAUACCAUUUAAUGUUUAAAUUCAACCAAAAUGUAGAUUUAAUACAAUAUACAAACAUUUCCAGGUCAUACACGAGCUUACGAAAGCUCAAAUAGUAACCCAAAGUCAAAGAAGGACCAAAUUGUAAAAGUUUCAAAAUACAAGGUUGACAUCAUGAUGUCACCAAACAGUUUGUCACGUGACGGCACCAGGCCACUCGACGUCGCAGCGCCACUUACUGUGUUGACCUCGUCGAGACGACGGGGUUCCUCGUCUCUUAGUGACAUUAUAGAUCAUUUCUCGUCGCGACGUCCCGUAUUGUUUUGACAAUUUAUACAGAACAAUAACCUGCAAAUUUUCCAGCCAAGUUCUAACACAUUCAAAUUUUAUACCAACUAACAAAUACAUUCAUCUAGCAGAAACUCACGUACUUAACAAUCUAGUUCAACAAUAAGCAAAUGCUUUAUACCCUAUAAACUAACAAUCUAAGGCAUUACUUUUAAAACAUACACGUUCAUAUGAAAAUCAUCAAGAACUUUAAUAUUGCAGCACAUAUACAUAUUCAUACUAAAUUUAAGUCAAUUUACAAACCAUAUCUAAUCAACCAAGCUUAUACAUUAGUCUUUUGAACCAAAAUUGUUUAUAAGCAUAAUAUGUGUAAUAUCCCGAAAAUUACUACUGUAAUACCCUAAAAAUUACUACAGUAAGAAAAUAGGUAUCCUUGAUAGUAAAAUAAGAAAAUAAAGUGACAAAAAGGAAAAUUUUGAGUUAUGGCAAUAUUGGGAAUUAUAUUAUGACAUAUUAAUUCAAGAAAGGAUUAAAUCGCAAAAGUGAGAAAAGUUUUGUUGCCCAAGAGUAAGUACUCGAAAUUUGAGGGGUUAAAGUGUAAAUAUGAAAAAUUUGAAGGACCAAUAGUGUAAAUAUUUUAAGGGUGGAAUAAUUUAGAAACUAAGUAAAAUGGAUGAAUUAGGACCAAAUUGAAAAGGUGAAGAAUUUUGAGGGACUAAAUCAUAAUUUUACCAAAUUAAGUGAUGACUCAAGGAUGAAAUUUUUAAAGGUUAUAAAGGGCAAAAUGGUUAAUUAGAAGAGAGAGAAAUCUAGAAGGCAAUGAUGAUGUUGGUGAUAUUUUAGAUUAAUUAAAUAAAUAUUAGUUUAUUAAUAUUUUAAUUUGAUUUUUAAAUGAUAUUUUAUUAUUUUAUUAUUAUUCUAUUUGGUAUAUAUAUGGAAGGAAAGGUGAAAAAUCUUCAUAUGCAUCCAAUGUAUGAAGAGAAAAGAAAGAAAGAAACUUUUUUUUCUUUACAAUUUGGCCCUUUCACCAAAAAAAUCACCAUUUUCACUUAGAAAUCAAAAGAAUUUUCAUAUCCAUCAAGAGAGAAAGAUAACAAGGAGACAAUGGGGAGCUAGAAUAUCAAGUUAGAUUCAAGAAAUAGAAGCUGGAGGAGAGAGAAUCAAGUUAAAGAUUGAAAUCAAUAGGACAAGGUAAGAACAUCAAGAUUUCAAUAUAUUUUUAAGUUUGUUAUUAUUGAAAAAGUAUGGAAAUGAUGUUAUAUUAGAGUUUUCUUAAAUGAAGUCUUAUGUUCUUGAUAUAUUAGUGAAGGGAAAUAAAAGAAAGUGAUGGAAAAUAUUAUAGAGAAAAUGAAUAAGAAAGUUAUAAACUUAGUAAUCAACAUUUUGCACUAAAACAGUUUUAGACAGCAGCAGUAGACUAACUUCGAAAAAUCACCAUAAAUUAUGGAAAUCGAAUUAUAGGAUGAAAAAAAUUGGAAUUAAAUAUUAUUAAGUCUAGUUUCUCAUAGAAGAAACGGUGUAAGUAAUGGAAUUGUAAAUCAUGAGAUAUAAUAAAUUAUGUGAGACAAGGUCAGAAUGAAUUCGGGUUCCCCUGUUCUGAAUUUGGAAAAUCAUAAAAAAUUAGAGAAAAAAUAAUUAUGGGCUUAAAUUUAUAUGUUUAAAAUACUGAAUGAGUCUAUUUUCAAGAGAAACAAACGGAAACAUCAUCCAAAUCCUGUAUGAGGAGAUAAUUAAUUUUUAGUGAAGAAGGGUCAGAACUGUCAGACAGCAGAAUAGGGAUGACUUUAAAGAAUAAACUGUACUUAUUGGCCAAACCAAAAAUUCUGAAAGUUUUAUAGUAAGAAGAUAUAUGAGUCUAGUUUUAUAGAAAAUUAACGGAUCUCAAUUCAGAGUUACAUAGCUCAAGAUAUAAAUAAUUUUGUGACAAUGACUGAAGUGGACAGCUUUGAAUGAACAAAUAAAAAAAUAGUGAAAUUAUAGAUAAUGUUACAUAUAAGCAUGUUAUAUACACUAAGGAUGUGGAAUGUAGAGGAGGAGGAAAUUAUAUGAUUAUUCAACUAGCAUGAGUUUUCAUUAAAAAUGGCUAAUCUGCAUGUUUUAGGUUCAGGGACUAAAUUGAAUAAAAGUAAUAUUUUAAGGGUAAACUUGUAAAAAUGUCAAAAAUGACCAAAUUGCAUGAAAUGAAUUGUUUUAUUAUUUAAAUUAAUAAAUUUAAUGAAAUAUUAAUUUAUAUCAAGAUUGAGUGGAAAUUCGAAGGAAAAUAGAAAAUUACCAAAAUAUCCCUGAAUUUUGGUAUUUCUGCAAUUUAGCCUGGUAAGUUCGUGUAACUUGAAUUAUAUUCUUAGAUGAUUGAAAUCUAUAUAUUGGAUUGAGAAAUUGAUUUGAAUUGUGAACAUGAGAAAUUGUGAAUUGGAUGAAAUGGAAAUGAAGCUUUGAAUUACAUGAGUAAAUAUCGGGUCUCGUAGGCCCUAUUUGUUAUGAAUAUAAUAUUUCGAGGAUAUGCUGUAAAGAAUUAUAAAAGCACGUUAACAAUUUAAAAGUUUUAAUUCGGAUGAAAUUUUGUAACUUGGUUUAAUACGUAUGCAAAUGUAUGUCUUCUAGUAAUGUCUCGUACCCUAUUCCGGCGUCGAAUACGGGUAAGGGAUGUUACAAUGUGACAUCGCCAGAUUCGGUCAUAACGUUUAGACCGGGUUUGGGGUGUUACAAUAUGUAUUAAACUUGACUCAACCUAGGUACAUGCCUUAUAACCGACAAAAGAGAUUUAUACAAACAUUGUUGAGUCAUCACAAUUCAAAGCUAAUUUUACAUUAUCAUUAAGUUAUACUAUUUUCAAUUUUAUUUAAUUUAGUCCUAUAUCUCGAUAAUCAAUCAAAUUCAUACCAAUGCAAUUUGAUCAAUCAUAUUUCACUUACCUCAAUAUCGUACCAUGCAAAAUAACAUAAAUAUGCAACAAUACAAGUAAUUCAAAUCAUAGAAAUACAAACGAACACAUGAGUUAUUCGUCGUUGGCUUUCACCUUUCCUCUCCCUCUUGACGUUCCCGUGUCGUCUUUAACUACAAAUAAUAAUUCGACAAUACAUAAUAUUAAAAGCUCAAAUCAAAAUUAAUUACAAGGUCACACAUAUUUUCCAAUUUAUUCAAUUCAGUCCCUAAAAUCGAGGCUAACCUAACUAUCAAUUUAAAGCUCUAAACUGAAAUACAAUUUCACUAUUACCCAUUAGAGACCUCCAAUUUCUUAUUGAUACUAUCAAAUUUACAUUUUAUUCACUUUAGUCUCUAAUGUAAAAACUAUUAAUUUAGCUUCACAAUUUAGUUCUUUUUCACAUCUAAGCUUAAAACCUAUCAAUUUAACACCUAAAACUUUAAAUUCUCAAUAAUGACAUCUUUCAAAACUUUAACAUUAGUAUAUGGGCUAGCUAAAUCAAGCUCCCAUGACCUCAAAAACAUUGUAAUACCUAAUUAGUGACCAAAACUUUGAAAACCCUUGGAGGCUUUUGUUUUCCUCUUCAAUGGAGGUGGACGGUUUUUAGGUGGAAGAUGAAAGAAAGUUUCUGUUUCAUUCCACUGAAUUUGGAUAUAUAUAUAUAUACAUGAUUAAGUUUUAAUUAAUCUUAGUUUAAUUAAACAUAGUUUAUUUUAAUUAAGUUUAAUGCUUAAUUAACCUUACCAUCCAGUAGCUCUUAAUUUGACAUGGUAUAAUUGAAAUUUUAGACCCUUGGUUAACUGCAAUUUAAGUCCCUAAAUCUUUGGCCAAUUAAAAAAUUAUAGCGAUAAGACUUUUACAAUUUAUCCCUAGGCCCUAAUUAAACACAAUUUCGACUAAAUUACUUAUCCAGAAUUCAGUUCACCUAUAUAGUAACUUCUUAACUUUUUUUAUUUAAUAUUUACAGACUCGGUUUACGGAAAUGGAGUCCCAAAACCAUAUUUUUUGACACCACUGGAAAUUGGGUCGUUACAGUCUUCUUCACUUUUCGGAUGAAACCAAAAAAGAUUAUGGCCUAUAUCUCCAUGAAAACUUGAGAUUUUGAAAGAUGGGUUUUCAAAUAGGGAAGAAGAUUGCUUGGUUUUUUUUUCUUUUUUUUCUUUCACUGGAUGAGAAGUGACAAAAAUGAAACCAAAAGCUAAACCUUAACGAUUACAAAUUGGGGAUGGUUAUUGCCAAAUCAAUUUUUUUAAAGAGAAAAUUUUGGGGAAGAGAUAUUGACAUUGUCAUUGAUGAAGAAGAUGAAAUUUGGGAUUUUUAUUUGAUUUUAGUUAAAAUAAAGGUUUGGUAUAAUUGUGUUUUAGUCCUUCAAAUGACUGCAUAAAAGAGUGAUGUGGCAAAUUGAGCCACAUGUUAUUUCCCAAAAAAUGUCAACCAUUUUCUUUUGCCUUCGGAAAUAAAAUGGUAAAAUUGUUAUCAUGCCCCUAGAUUUGAAUUGGCUAACAUUUUUCUUGCAAAAAUUGCCACAUGUCGAUAUUUUAGUGGUUCACGUGUAAUGCCACAUCACACUUUAACGCCAAUAGACUCAAGUACCUUUUUAGAAAACGAAAGUAAAGUACAAGAGGUACAUUGGACAUUUAGAAACUUUAGGUACCAAAUUAAAAAUUUUACUAAAUACAGGGGCGAAUAUGCCAUUAUCCUUUUUUUAUAACUUCCAUUUUUGAAAUACUUUAUAGACCAAUAUGUAGUUUUAUUUUAAUCCCAAAUGGAUCAGGUUUCACCUAUUAUGGGUAGAUUCGACUUAACUUUUUCAACAAAAAGUAUAUCAAAUGGAUAUCAGAUAAAGCUUUAACUAUCGCUUCAUACAAGUAAAGACAAAAUUAUAUAUUUAUAAUCACAAAAAAUAUUUAAGUAUUAUUAUAAAAAAAAUAAUCCAUAAAUGAACAACUGUUAAUGCUCAUUUUAAAAUUUUACUAUUAAAGUUUAUUAAUUACAAAUUAACAUUAUACUUUUAAAUAAUUUUUUUAAGUAAUGAAGUUUUUUUUAAAUUUUAAAUAAUAUAUUGUCAUAAAUAGCAAUUGAUUGAAGUCUAAAUGAUUUGACUUUUAAAAUAUAUUUAGUAUUUAAAAUUUUUUUAUAGAUAUCUAAAGUAUCCAAACGUUAAAGAUUUUAGUCUAAAAUUGUGCUAUUAAAAAGAACUCAACGAAUUAAAUUAUGCCAUGUGUUUUUGUUUUAUAAUUUCAUAAAUAUUAUUGUUAAAAUUGUUUUCCUAGUAUAUUAUUAUUAUUAUUAUUAUUAUUAUUAUUAUUAUUAUUAUAAUUUCAUAAAUAUGAUGCCCACGGAUGACGACAUUGACGAGAAUACCAAAAUCGUUGAGUUCUUUUAUUAAGCCGAUGGACUUCAAAGGAUUUAUGAUCGUCGGAAUAAAAGGAUUUGGAGACAAAAACAAUCAUUAUGAUAAGAAUCUUGAAACCCACAAUUUAUCUAUAUAUUUAUUUUUUUUAAAAUAAAAUAUUUAAUUAUUAUAUAUAGACGAAGAUGAAUAAUUACUCUGAAUUUGAUGAAGAUGAAAAUUUUGAUUUUUUAUUAAAAAUAUUUAAUUAUUUCAUUUAUAUAUUUAAAAGUUUAUAUAUAAUUUUUAUAAGAGAACUCACUAAAAGGGCUCCUAAAUCAUCUUUGGAUUUUUCCAUAGUUUUCUAAAAACAAAAAUGCUUGGGUUUUUUUUCUGUUGGAUAAAAGGUGGAGGAGGGGAUGUGAGAAGGGAGAAUUAAAUAAUAUACUUUUUAUUUGGUCAAAGGUUGUUAAAAUUCUUUUAAACUUUUUUAGAAAAAUUUCAACUAAGUUUCUAUAUUUUUCUUCAUUCAAUUAAGUACUUGAACAAUAGGAUUAUAAUUAAUUAAAAAUUUGACUCUUAACCGUUACAGAAUAACGAUAGUCUUUUUUCUGGAUAUUUUACCACUUGACACACCAUAAUUAUGCCCAGUGACAAAAAUUGGUGUUUUAUAUUUAAAAUCAUUACAAAUUAUAAAAAAAUUAUAAAAAAAAUCAUAGAAACUAUAGAAAAUCAUAAAAAUUUAAAAAUUAUAAUAUAAACGUUUUAAAAAAUUAUAAAAAAAUAAAAGUGCAAAAAUUAUAAAAUAUAGAAAACUAUAAAAAUUAUUAUAAAUGAAAAAAUAUAAAAUUAAAUAUAUUAAAAAUAUAUAUUAUAAAAAAUAUAAAUCAUGAAAAUAUAGAAAAAAUUGUAAAAAUUAUGAUUUUUUUAAAUAUAGAAAUUUAUUAGAAAUAUUAAUAAUUUUUUUAAAAAUAUUAUAAGAAACAUAAAAUUAUUAAAUAUAUUAAAAAAAAAAACUAACGUUCUCCAUUUACACACUAACCGUUGUUAACAAUACAAUACCAAUUAAAAAUUAUGAAAUAUUUUUUGAUCCCUAAAACUAUAUGCUAUGUUCGUCCACCACAAACCUCUCCAAACCUUAUGCCCUAUGUUCGUCCACCACAAACCUCUCCAAACCUUAUGCCCCUUUUGUCCAUGGAUGAUGACAAGAAAGUGAUUUGAGAUGUAAACUAAGGGUCAGUUCUUCAUUGCUUAAAAAAAAGUACUUUUGACUCCAAAAACAUUUUUGAAAGAAAAGCUGUGAAGAACAAGCUGCUUUUGGCUGAAAUUUUUAGCUUUUCAGAAGUACUUUUGAAAAUCAAUUCUGAAAAGGAGCUAAAAAGGAGAAACUAAAAAUUUUAGCUUUUCCUCUCCCAAAAACACUUUUGGUGCUUAAAUACUUUUUCACCCCUCCAAUAACAUAGUAUUUUUUUCUUUCUUGGUGCUUAAUUACAAUUGUGUUAAAAUCAUUAAUUAAAAUAUAAAAAAAUUAUUUUUUAAAAUACUAAUUACAAAUAUUUAAUGGUUAUAUUUAAAUAUUUAAAAUAUAAUUUAUAUAUUCUAAUUAAAAUUUAUAAAUAAUUAAUAUUUAUUGCUUAAAAAUAUUUAAAAUUUAUAUUUCAUAUAUUAAAAUAUGAACAACAAGUUAUAAUGAUUUUUUUUAUAUUCUUACUAAAAUAUAAUAAUAUUAACUAAUUUAAAUAUUAUUUAAAUGUAUAUUUGUUACUUGAUAAUAACAUGUCUAAAAUAAACAUUUUAUUUCUCAAAAGUACUUUUUGACAGCAAUGCUAAACACUCAAAUUUUAAACCAAACUUUUCAAAAGCAAUUUUCCACAGUACUUUUCAAAAGUAAUGAAGAACUAGCCAUAAGGUGGGGAAAUGGGUUGAGAAAGCAAAUGACAAUAGAGACUAUUUGUAUAUAAAAUGUAAAUAUCUUUUUUAUAUUUUAUAUUUUUUUAAUUUUUUAUAUUAAUUUUUGAAUAAAUUUUAAUAAUAAAUUUUUAAUUUUCUAUAAUUUUUUGCACUUUUUUUGUAAUUUUCUAUUUUAAUAAUUUUCUAUAUUUUAAACAUUUUUCUAUAUUUUUAAAUUUUUUAGUUUUUCAUAAUUUAUAUAUAUUUAAAAUUUAUUAAUGUUUUUAAAAUUUUUCUAUAACUUAUAUAAAAAAUUCAUUUUUAAUAAAAUUUUUUAAAAUUUAUAUUUUUAAAAUUUUUUCACUUUAAUAUUUUUAUAUAUUUUAAAAAAAGACAUAUAUUUUUAUGAUUUUCUAUAAUCAUUUAAUAUAUUUUUAUAAUUAUUUAAUAAUUUUUAAUGUUUUUGAAUAUAAAAUACAUGUUUUUGCCACAUGACACAAUUUUGGCGUACCACGUGGCGAGAACACAUAAAAAUGACUAUAAUUAUUCUAUAAGAGUUGACCGUUAAUUUUAAUGGUCAAAAGGCUUAAUUGAUUGUAAUUUUAAAGUUCAAGGGAUUAAUUGAGUAAAAAAAGUAUAGAUACCCCAACCAAUUUUUACCUCUCAUCGGGUCAUACCCCAAUCAGUUCUCAAUUCCCGAUUUAGAUAACAUUGAAUUUUGGAAUUUUUGUUUAUAUUUUUUUUGAAUUUUACCUUUAAAGUUAACAAUGUCAAAGAUAGAAUAACUUUUUUAGCCCUCAAUAUUUAUAGAGGUGUUCAAACAAAUAUGUUCAAAAGACGGAGAGGUGAUUACCCACUUUGCCAAACUCAAAAGUCCAAACAUAUAUUCAUGGAAAAUGAAGUUAUUAAGUUAUAUUUAUUUUUUUUGGUGGAAAAGAGAAAAUUACAAGAAAUAAAAAAGUCAACUAGCCUAACUCCCCACACGGGGGUUUUCCAAACAUUCGCAGCCCUUGCCUUCCCGAGUGAGCCAACCUGGCAAGGUUAUCGGCUUCCUGAUUCUCUUAUCUAGGUAUGUAAUAAAUAUUCCAGUGUGAAGUCUGAGACAAUAACUGAAGAAUCCUCCUAAUUAGAGCUGUAUUGGAACCUCCUGUAGAACUCUCUUGAAUGGCUAUCACCACUUCAAUACUAUUAGAAUGAAUCAUGACAUUAUACAAACCACAAUCAGUUAAUAGAUUAAGACCAUCCAAUAUGGCCCACAGUUCAGCCUCAAACACUGAGCAACUUCCUAAAAACCUAUUAUAACCAAUGAUCCACUUCUCAUUUUGAUUUCUCACAACCCCUCCUACUACUGCAGAGUCGCCCUCAAACCUAACAAAACCAUCUGUAUUUAAAGAAACCUAGCCUUCAGGCAAAUUGGAGCAGGAUUUCAUAAUCCUCCCCGUAUUCAACUGACUUUGAUUGAUCUUCAAAUCAUGCUUGGCCCAACUAUAUAAGGCUCUGAUAAUAUCAAAACUGCUCUAUGGUACACCCUAAAAAUAACAAGGUUACGAUUCUUCUAGAUACGCCAGAUGAUAAUCCCAAACAGACAUUCCCAGCUAACCUCCACGAAGCAAAUAUCAUACUGAUUAAGCAAUUUGGAAGCAAUCCAUUCCUGGGUGUUACUAAAAUAGAACCUGAUAAGGCGAUUAGUAGGGAUUAGAAUAUUCCAAAUAUCUUCCGCUGUCGGACAAUCUCUUAAAACAUGUAACACAUCUUCGGAGAUAUGGCUACAAACUCUACAAACCAAACUCUACCCGAAACCCCGACGAACUCUUUCUUCACUAGUGAGAAGUCUCUGCUUAAGAAUUAGCCAAAUAAAAAACUGUACUUUUUAUAGACCUUUGAAAUUCCAAUGGAUCUUCCAAGUAUCUUCCUUCGAUUUCCACGAACUCGCCUUAAUUCUUCCAUAGGCGUUUUUAAUAGAAAAAGAACCCGUCGUUGAGCCUCCCCAAAUUAUCUUGUCUACGCUUGCCUCUGGAUGAGGUGGGGGUAUUCCAAUAAUCUUUUGUACGAAUGUCCUAGGUACCCAAAGUUGAAAUAAUUCAAGGUUCCAAUUACCAUCCACUGAAACCAUAUCACUAAGCAAAUAAUCCAAAUCAAGACUAGAGUGAUCGGGAAUCAAAUUAACAAGAGGCUCUACAUUAGGAAUCCAUGGAUCUCGCCAACACUUAACUUUUCACCCAUCCCCCACUGACCAAAACAAAUUCUCCCGUAUGAGAGGCCAAACCUUAGUAAGGGAUCUCCACAAGGAGGAACUUCUACUACAGGAUAAAUUUUAUGGUAUUUCAUCAAUUACCCCAUACUUUGCUUGUAAAACAUGUACCCAGAGAGCUUUAGAAUUAGUCAAAAUUUUAAAACCCAACUUCAUCAUGAAGGAAGUGUUGUGAUAUUGCAGCUUUCAAAAGCCAAGACCACCAUGCUUUUGAGGUUGAUAGACAUCCUCCCAUCCUACCAAAUCCAAUUUCUUACCAUUCUUUGAAGAUCCCCAAACAAAUUGACACACCAUACUUUCAAUUUCCUCGCAAAGUCCCUUGGGAAUCAGCAUAAACUGCAUAAAGUAACUAGGAAUUGCCAUAAGAAUGGAUUGAGCUAGGGUAGUCCUACCAGCAAGAGACAAAUAUCUCGAAUCCCACCCCUGUAGCUUACUUUAAACCUUGUCCACCACAAAGCACAAAGAACUAUUGGCAACUUUAUCAUGAAAAAGGGGAAUUCCUAGAUAGCACCCAAGAUUGGCACUCUUCGAAAGCCAAGAAUACGACACAAGUUACUUCCUAACACCUUACUCAUGCCUUUAGAAAAGAAAACACUUGAUUUGUUCACAUUAAUAUUUUUUCAUGAAUAAUCACAGAAGCUAUCCAACACUUUCUUCAAGAUUAUAGCUUGACUCUCUUCAGCUUGACCAAAUAGAAUCAGAUCAUCUGUAAAAAACAGGUGAGACAAGAAAGGGCCUAGACUAGAUAAACGGAUAGGUCUCCAGCAACCAAAAUUAAUAUUAGCCUAUAUACUAUGGCCAAGCCAUUCCAUACAUAGAACAAAUAAGUAGGGGAAAAGUGGGCACCCUUGACAGACCCCCUUGACGGCUUGAAUUUCUGAGUUGGAUUGCCAUUCCACAAAAUAUGCAAAGUAGAGUUAGUGAUAGUAGACAUAAUCACAUUACAAAGGUAAUUCAGAAUACUUGUAGCUUGAAGAGAUGCAUCGAUAAACUCCCAACGCAUUUGAUCACAUGCUUUCUCUAGGUCAAUCUUUAUGGACAUCCAAUUCCGAGUCUUUUUCUUAAUUUUCAUGGAAUGAAAUACUUUCCGAGUAAUAAUAAUAUUAUCCAUAAUACUCUUUCUCGUAAUAAACCCAGUCUGUUCUUGACCAAUAAUUCUUGGAAAUACCAGUUUGAAAUGAUUGGCAAUAAUUUCCAUUACCAACUUGUAAAGAACUGAGCAAAGGCUGAUUGGUCGAAAUUGGGAAAACAAUCUGGAUUUGGGAUUUUAGGAAUGGGGACUAAAAGGGUAUUAUUCAGCUCUGGAUCGAUUGUUUCACCAUAAAAAUAUUCUUGAUCCAAGUACAAACCGAAUCCCCAAUCUGCUCCGGUUGACUCUAAAAGAAGAGGGCAUGGAAUCCAUCACUCCCCAGCACCUUCAGAGGACUAUAUCAAACAAGGCAGAUUUUAUUUCCUCAUUUGAAACUAGUUUGCUUAACAUUUGGAUCUCAUCAUCUUCAAGCUUCAGAAAAGAACUAAUGGAAGACCUCUCAUCGGCCCCGAGUCUUCUAUAUAUAAAGUUUUGAAAAAACAUGACGCCUCCUAACGUAGAUCCUCAUCAUAAAAAAUCCACUCUCCUUCCUCAUUUUUAAACCCGUAAUCUAAUUUUUCUUUCUCCUUUUAAGGUUGCACCUAUGGAGGAAUUUAGUAUUACUAUCUCCCAGAGAAAGCCAAUCGCACCUCACCAUUUGUUUCCAAAGAAGCUCCUCAUGAUACAGUAGAUUUUCCAAUUCCUCUCUAGUCUACAAUUCCAACUGAAAUAAAUGGUCAGACUGAGAAUAAUUCAACCUACUUUGAAUCGAAUCAAGUUUCUGAAUCAGUUUCUUUUUGCGUAUCCUAACAUGGCCAUAUACCUCAUUAUUCUACUCCUUAAGUUGGCUUGUGAAAUUAGAAAGUGAGCUAGACAUAGAACCAGAAAAAUUCCAAUUAUUCUUCAUGAAGUUGGAAAAAUCUGUAUGCUCAAUCCAUCCUGCCAAGAAAUGGAAAGGACGACCCCUAGAUGGAUAAAGCUCAGAUCGAAGCGAAAGAAAGAUAGGCUUGUGAUCAGACUUGAGUCUAGGUAAGUGGGUCACGAAAUAAUUUGGAAAAGAAUUGAGCCAUGCCUCAUUCCUAAUAGCCCUAUCAAGAGUACGCAUCUAACAGCAGCAGACAAGUCAAGAAAGAAAAGCUAUGCCACCAUUUCUUUUCCUUUUCUAGGUAAACUACACUAAAAUCACUAAACUAUUAAUAGAUUUAUAUUUUGGUCACUCAACUUUAGAAAGUUAUAAGAUGAUAAUUGAAUUAUACAAAAAUUUUCAUUCAAGUUAAUGGACUAUUAAUAUUGUUGUUGUAUAGCCUUCUCUAUUUGCACUGCUUGCAAUAAUCAAAAGCUUUCAUUCCCCUCCCUUUUUACAAUUCAAAUUUUUUUUCAUGAAAAAACUUUAAACAUCACGAAUCUAUGAACCAUAAUCCAAUCAACUUUUUUUUUGAUCUUCGAUAUUGACCAUUAGAUCGACUUGGAUCUAAGUAAGGGUACUGAUCUACCCUACCUAUCAUUAGCAGGACUUUAGAAAAAAAACCUUAACAACUUAAUGGUUUAAAUAAAAACGUUCAAAUAAUUCAAUGACAUGAAAAAUUUUCAAUAGUUUAAUAACCAUUUUGUAACUUUUUGAAGUUGAGUAAUCAAAACGUAAAUUCACUAGUAGUUUAGUGAUCUUGAGUGUAGUCUACCCUUUCUUUUUUGGUUCAAAAGAAUAUUACAAAAUGAUAUAAAUUCAACAAUCCACUCAAUUCUUAAAAAAAAAAUCCGCUCAAACCUCAUAGGUUCCUACUAGAAAUUUUAUCACAUGUGUAUGCGUAUGGACACCACAAAUUAGAACACAAAUAUUUGUUUAAAAAUAACAUACAAUAAAAAAUGAAACAUAUGGUUUGAAACUAAGUAAUUAUAAUAACACAUGAAAUAUGUACAAUAUUAAAAUAAAAAAUUAGAUUAAAUCGUGAGUAAAAAAAGUUAAACACAAAUACAUCAGAUUAACAAAAAAUUAUAUCAAAUUGUAAGUAAAAUGAAAUUUAAACAUAUAAAUACAUCAUAUUAAGAAUACUAAAUGAUUACAAUUUUUUAACAUGGUGUUCUUGUCAAUAUUAAGUUGAUGUCGAGUUAAUUUGUGACACUAACUCAAUCAACAACAUUAUUAAUAAAUAUUAAUAUAUAUACAAUUAGGGUUUGUUUGGACAUCACAAAAUAAUUGAAUGAAAAUGUAAUUACUACGAUAAUAAUUACACUCUCUUGUAAUUACAAUGAAUUGUAAUUUCCUAGACGUGUUUGGGAGUCAGAGAGUAAUUACAUCGUAAUUCUUUAUGUAAUGUUUGGUAGUACAAAUUUUAACUAUAGAGUUAUAUAAAUUUCAUUUUUAAAAAAUAUUAACUACUAUAAGAAUUAUUAGCAUGAUAAAAUUAAUUUAUAAAAAAGUAACAAAAAUUAAAAUCAAAUAAUCAUAAGUAUUGUGUUAGUCCAAAAAAGUAGUUGAUAAUAUGAUUAUUAACAAAACAAGAAGAAGAAAAUAAACCAUAUGCAAUUUUAUUUAAUUGUUCUAGUUCAUCUUAUAGAGUUGUUUCCUCUUUAAUAUUUAGCAUAUACUCCUUAUCAUCAUCUGUUGGUCUUUGACUGAGUUCAUCAUCAUCUAAAUCUGAAUCUGCAUAAUUACGAUUAUCAAGAUCUUCUUCUUCCAUGUACUCUUUGAAGUAUGGAUCAUCUCAUUUCCACCUAUGAUUGAAGUUAUGAAAUAUGCAACAUGCUAGUAUGGUCCAACUUUUUUUUUAUGUUAUACUAAGGUGAUGUUAAUAUGAGAAAUAUUUUUUUAGAACAAAUGUCUUCUCAACCACAUUCUAAAGCCUUGGAUGCUUCAAAUCAAAGAGUUCGCCAACUGUCUAUUAUGCUUAUGUCUAGCACCAUUCUCUCAAAUGAUAUUAUGCCUCACGAUACGAUGUAAGAAAACAUUUUCUAUUUUCAUAAUUAGUAUCGACAUUAUAAUAUCUGAAUUCACAAUCCAAAUAGUAUGUAGCUUUAAUUAUAAAAACUUAUAUAAACUUAAUUCGAGGAAAGACUUAUACUAGGUUAUAUCUAUUUUUAUAAUACGUAAAUUAAGUAAAAAUAAUAUAAAAAUUAUAAUAUAUAAUCUUUAUAAAAAUGUUUUAUAAAUUGUCCUAAACUUUCAUAACAUUUCUUAUAAAUAAUAUAAGUUUUUGCCAUAACUUGAUAAAGUUAUUUUUUUAUAAAUAAGUUAUGAUAAAAAAAAACUACAACAUUUUUUUUGUGAAUAAGUAUAUUAUUUUUAUAAUAUAUAGCAUGGACACAUAAAUAAGUUAUGUUCAUACUUCUUGGCUAUAACUUUUCAUAAAUAAAUAUAUUAUUACACUUUUAUAACAUGUAAAAGUUUUUAUAAUAAACUUUUUUUAUCAUAAAUUUUAGAAAUUUUUUAGGAUUUAAAUAAUAUUUUUUGUUAUAAAUUUAUCAAAUACAUAUUAAUUUUAUAAUAUAUUUUUUAGAAUUUAUAAUAUAAGAAAAAUUCGACCAUAACCAUUCCAAACACUCAUACAAGUUCAUGUUUAUAAUAUAAUUUUUAUAACUUGUAUAACAAUAAUUUUUUAAAAUUAGAUUUGAGUGUAACUACCCACGUGAUUACUCCAAUUCUCACUCUUUUCCUAAGAAUUGAAAAGUGUAAUUGGGGUGCUCCAAUUACACCCAAUUCAGUGAGACCUACUAAUUACAAUGGUUAUCCAAACAUGCCAUCAUUGUGUAAUUAUAAGCAAUUACACUCAAAUCUAAUUUCUAUGUGGCUUUCUAAACACUACCCUAAUGAAAGUAAUAAAAUGUGCAUAUUAAAAUAAAAACAUAUACAAAAAUAUAAAAAUAAAGUUUCAGUUGAGUGGUAAAUUUAAAAUUUUUUCAAUGUAAUUGACAUGGGUUCAAACCCCAACAUAUCCAUAUAUAUAUAUUUAUUUUUUAACUUAAAAAAGGUUAAAGUACCCUAAAAUAAUAUAACUUAUUUUAAAUAUGAUUGAACAUUUUUGUAAUUUUCCUAACCGAGUUGGUGCUUGGUUGACUCGUUACACCAACACAGUCAGGAAUUUUAUUAACGGUAUAGAUAAAUGUUAGAUAAAAAAAUUUAAAAAUCAUAUUUUUCUAUAAAAUAAGUUAUACUAUUAUUAAAAUAUUUUUAUUUUUUAAUAAAAAACAUUUAUAUUAAAAUUACUAAACAUUAUAAUUUUAAAUUUUUAUCCUUUCAAUUAAGACUUGAUUUUUAUAUAAAUUUUUAAUAAAUGUAUUUUUUUAUAAUUUUAUUUUACUCACAUGUUUGUCAUAAUCUAAUAUAUACUUGUUAUACCCCUCUAACAGAAAGACAUGUGUCAAGACAUUGUUGACUUUGCAUUGACCCUCUAAGCACAACCAUCCAACCCGCUUCAAACAGAACCUAUCACCCGUGGUCAUAAGAGAUUGUUAUCUUAAUGUGAACACACUUCCAAGACAAUAAGGAGUCCAUUUAAGCUUAAUUACUUCAAACUGAUAGAAUCCCAUAAUACACACCCAUGAUUAUUCAUUACAUGUUUAACAUGAUUAAAUGCUUAUCUAGCCAAUAUCAUACCAGUGGAAAAUGAGACUUUUUCCUAUAAAUACCUUGAAAAACUAUGGGCAAGGGAUCAAUCCUUUCUAUACCUUAAAGUUACUUGCAUUUAUCUUUUCAAUCAGCUUGCCCUCUUAUCCUUGUUUCGGCUCUCGACCUUUAUAGGUAAACCAACAUCUACUACAUCACAUUGAUGUCGUCUUCGUUCCAACUUAUCUUCCUCACUUGUUAUACUUUGUAUAAACAAUACUUAAAUUACAAUUAUAUUCACAAUUCGAAAGAUUCAAUAAAUUUUUUAAUUACAAUAAAUAAUCAUUAGAAGUAUGAAACUAAAUAGCUAAUUUAACAAUGAGCUAACUAAAAUCAAUAUGAUUUACAUAUGAUAAGACCCAAUUGAACACUCAAAAUCAGAGGUUGUCAACAUUUGCUAACAUAACCAAAGUUUUAUUGGUAUGAACAAAAACUCUCUUUUUUGAAAUUACAACUAUAUUAUCUGUUUCAAUUAAAAUCAAUCAUUACAUGCACUGAAUUAGAUAAUUAAUGUAAUGUCCCAAAAAUCGGGUUAUUAGAAUUUGGUUUGUAAAUAGAGAGAGGGUGGUAAUGCCUUAAUUUUUAAGAUUAUCUAUGCAUUUUUAGGAAAUAAAUGAGGUAUUGGUUUGUUGGUUAGGUGUUAGUGUAAUGUUCCUUGAAACCCAAGUUCAAAUCCCUUCUCUCUUACCAUUUUUAUUAUUUUGCAAAUUUUGCCUUAAACCCUAGUAUGUGACAUGCCUUGCUUUUAAAAUAAAUAUUGCAAAAUUAUUUCAAGAAUGAGGAAAAAUCCUAAUGGUUAAAAGAAAUAUAAGAAAGCAUGAAAAUUAAAUGAGGUCCCAAGUUUAAAUCCUUUCCCUUGCGAAAUAAUUUAACUUUUGGCAAAAAUCUAUUUUUUUUAAUGUGUGUGCCACCCAAGUCUUGUAACCCUUGGUAUAAAUGUUAAUUUUUCAUAAAUAAUCAGCCUUUCAUCCUCCUCCUCAUUGCCCUACCCGUUCAUCUCCUUCUCUCCCCCUCUUUGAUUUUAUUUAUUUUUCCUUUCCUCCAUUAAUGCCGUCCCCUACACCUCCCAUUUUACAAUCUCUUUCUUUUUCUUUUUGCGUAAAGAUUGUGCACCAUCUUCUUUAUUAUAUUUCUUCCAUUUAUCAUCAUAUAAAUCAGCCCCAAAUAUAAAAUCUUGAACCCCAAGACCAAUCCCGAACAUUGCCAAGAAAGUGUCAUUGCCGUUUCUCUCAACUAGCUUGGGUAAGAUCUCUUUUCUUUUCAAUUUCUUGAUUAAUCUUGUCAAUUAAAAACCAAAAUAUCCAGAUCUGGAAUUUGGUGGAUUUUAAAUUAUUUCAAAGUUAUUUUUCAAUAUUUUAAUAAGAUCUCAAACCGUUUUAAAAUUCACCCCCAAUUUUGGGCACCAUGGGUGGUGGUGCGUGUGCCUAUGUGUAAGAAAGGGGUCUGUUUUGUUUCUUGAAUCUUGCCCAAUUAAUUCUAGCCUUAAUUUGUGUUCUUGGACCCUAUUAAUUAGCUUUUAAACCCAUGUCAAUUAGGGAAAAAUGUUUUUGAUCGAUUGGUUAUUCGAAACUCGCAAAUCGUGAAGCGUAAGUGCAAUUAAUGAUAACUAGUUUAUUAUUCGACGUAGUUGUUGGGUAAAUGUUAUGAAUUAAUUAAAUGAAGGACUUUAAUCAUUAAUUAGCUACUGAUUUUCCAGUACAUUAUUGAAUUAGGUGCUGACCCAAAUGCCUCAAAUCAACCAUAAAGGCGAAGAACGAUUAUACGUACAGUUCGCAUCGGUACAGUGUAAGGAAUCUAACUUGUUUGGAUUCAUAAAAUGGUUAUAAUUUCAAUGAUUGGUUUGAACUCAUAAGUGAGCAUUUUGGGGCUGGUUUAAUGUUAAAUUGGUUGAAUUUAUACAUUUAGGUUCGUUUAAAGAAUUAUUAAGGAAAAUUGGAAGAUUUGCUAGUGUGGUGCGAGGAAGAGAAAAAUAAGGUGUGGGUCCUAAACUAAUAAAAUUAUUUGAAAAUAUUAAAUAUCAUGUUAUAUUUGAUAAAUUAGCUUGUUGAUUGGAUUGGCUUAAUAGCCAAAGUAUUGAUUUUGUGAGUGGCCGAACCAAGUAUGUUUCUAGCCUUAAAAUAUUGACAUUUUGGCAAAAUUGCUAGUUUGAUAGUAUGAAUGUUUAAUUGAGUUUGUAAUUGCAUAUUUGAGUUACGAGAUAUGAGAAUGUUUGAUUGAAUGAUAUAAUGUGUUGAGAUAUUAAGCUUAUAUAUGAUUUAAACGUAUGAGAUAUUUGUUAUAUUGUGUACUGAAAAGGGUGCUAUUUAUGCACAAUGGAAAUCUGUAAAGUAUGUGAAAUUGAACGAUAUUGAUUGAUACAAACACAAUGAUAAUUUGAAAGAUUGGAACAUUGUUUCCAUUUGAUGAAAAUAUGUUAUUAUUGAGGACAUGCUGAGCAUGUCAAAUGAAUGUGAUAUUGAGAUAUGAUUAUGUAUGAGAUUGUGUGACAUAUUGCCUAUGCAUUGGGUUGAGAUUUUGUGGUUGACGGAGGAGUUCCGUGGAGUACCGAUGCAUAUUAAGUCCCCAUUAUUCGUAGUUAGUGCACUACACUUGGAGUACCAAGGGGAAUGGUGAUUUAUUGCAUUUUUACUGGCAGCUUGUCUGCAUUUUUACUGGCAGAAUUUUUUGCAUAUUGUUGUUGGUGGUUUUAGCCACAAUGGGCUUAAGCUCAUAAUGUUUUGGAGUUUGGAUGACGGGUUCUAGGGAACUCCUAGUGUGUAGCGGACAGUAUGGGUAGGAAACUUUUUGCAUUGCAUCAUGUUCAUGACAUACUCGAAUUUUUUUUGAUUUAUGAUAUGUGUUGUAUUGUGUUGUAUUGAAUGAUAUCAAAAUUACUGAUUGUUACUCGAAUGAAUGAUGUCCCAUGCUCAUGCACCGUUUGACAUCAAGUUGAUAAUGGCUAUGAAAUGACAUGAAAUUCCUAUGAUGGUUCUAUUUUCUUCAGUUAAAGCUAAUCUGUUUCACUGUAUUCAAUAUUUAUGUUUGUUUGAAUAAUUGUUCAACUUACACUGAGCUUUUCAUAAACUCACCCCCAAUAGUGUUUAACUUUUCAAGUAAACCUCGAAAUUAGAACUAGACUCAGCAUUCGGAGAACCACCUUGGAUCUCAGAUUAUUUUUCUUAAUAAGUAUUAUUAAGUCUUUAUUGGUUUUGGUUUGUAAUUUUUAAUUAUUUCUGGUCUGUGGCUUGGUAACUUUUUAUUUGGGGAUUUUUGCAUGCAUGGAUUACUCAAGCAUAAUAACCGGAUAAUGCAUGAUAUCUGGCUUAAAUAAAAUUUGAUAUUGUUCCCUAGUUUCUGCUGCAUUGCAAAGGAACCGUUUUUGAAAAGCAAAUCGAUAAGGCAACUAAGUUUCCAAAAUGACUUGAAAAAAUGGUUUUUCCGCUGCAUUAGUUUAACUUCGAGUUUUUUUUUAAAGAAGAGCAAGAAGCAAAUGGUUUUUUUGAAACAACACUAUCAAUAAUAAAUUGAAUCCUAAGUAUACACGACCUAAUGAAUGAAUGUUUUUAAGCUAACUCAAAGUAAAACUACGAUUUUCUCUAAAAUGGGUUUAUUUAAGGUCUUCAAAAGUAAUGUAAGUUAGCUUAGCCAUUUUGGUGGAUAAUGUAGCCUUCUCAAUCUAGCCAUAACGUCUAGGCCAGGUUAGGGAGGUUACAAUUAACUCAACAACUAAAUAAAUUCAAACUAACCAACUAAUUAAAAUUAAAUAAAUAUGGAGAGAAUCCACACAUUUAUAUAAGGUUAGACUUGAACAUGAGAUAACAAAAUUUUCAAAAUCUCAACAUUACCAUAGAACUAAUGUUUCAAUUAGUAGAACAAAAUUUUGAUUAUGAAAAAGAAAAUAAAAAAAAGAUCAUUAUACAUCAUAUGUUCAUUUUCAAUAUCAAGUUAAAUAUUAAUAAAAUUCCAACUUUGAUGUUUUUUUUUAUAUUUUCCUAAUAACGUAGUUGUUGAGGGAAAAAGUGGGUCGAGGUAAAUAUGAUGGUUCACCCGAUAGCUUGAGAGUUACGAGGUGAAAACAAUAUAAUUGUGUAGAAAGAAAAGAGAGAAAAUGAAGGAAGGAAGGAAGGAUGAGAGUAUGAUGCUUGAAGAUGGCUUGAGAGAGAGAGAUAAGUACUCAUGGUUCAUAUUGAGUCUGUAACACUCCUAACCUGUAUCCGUCGUUGGGUUAGGGUUACAGAGCAUUACCAGAAAUUCAUAACUUAAAACAUUUGAUUUAAAACAUUUCAUAAAUCAUUGCAAUUAUCAAUCAAUCACAUUCAUAAUGUCCCUUAUUUGAGCCCUCGAGGCCUUUCAAACACAUUAGAAACAAUUCGGGACUAAAUUGGAAUCAUAUAGAAUUUCAUGGAAAAAGUUGAAAUUUUUCAUACUGUAGGGGUCACACGGUUGAUACAUACGCCUGUGUCUCAGGCCAUGUGGGCAUUUGAAUUAGGGACACUGUAACACCCCUAACCCGUAUCCUUCUCCAGAAUAGGGUUAUAGAGCGUUACCAGAGUUUACAAAUUAAUUUUCAGACAUUUCAUUUCAUCAAGCAUUCAUAUUUAUGACCAAUUAAAAUCAAAACAUUUAUGAGCUAACAUUAACCAAUUUAACUUAUACAAGUCAUUAUAACCAGAAUCAAAUCAUCCAAAAUUACCAAUAGAACCAAUGGAUAAUGUGAUAUAUCUCCAACAAGCUUCCAACCCAAUCGAGCUUCCGAUAAUCAUUUAAAUGCAUCAAAUAAUUAUACAUAUUACCAAUAAUAAUUCGAUUCCAAUAAUAAAACACACACACAUAUAUAAUAUUCAUUACCAAAUAGCAUUCACUUCAAAUAAAAUUAUAUAGAAUAUAGCUCAUACGAGCUCGCCAGACUAAAUUGCAAAAAUACCAAAAUUUAGGGACAUUUUGGAAAUUUUCUAUUUUUCUCAUAUUUCCACCCAAUAUUGUUCUAAAUUUCAUUCAAUUUUGUAAUUUUGAUAAAAAACCAAUCCAUUUCAUGCAAUUUGGUCACUUUUUGAAAUUUUUACAAAUUUACCCUUAAAGUUUCACAUUUGUUCAAUUUAGUCCCUGGACCUAAAACAUGUAAAUUGGUCAGUUUUAAUGAAAACUCAUGCUAGUUAAAUAAUCAUAUAUUUUCCUCCUCCUCCUCUCCAUUCCACAUCCUUAAUGUAUAUAACAUGCUUAUAGGUAACAUUAUCUAUAAUUUCACCAUUUACUUAUAUAAAUUCAUUCAAAGUUGUCCACUUGAGUCGUAGUCCCUAAAUUAUUUAUAUCUUGAGAUACAGAACUCCAAAUUAAGAUCCGUAAAUUUUAUCUGAAACUAUACUCACAUAUGUUCUUACCAUAAAAUUUUCAUAAAAUUUUUCUUAGCCAAUAAGUACAUUUUAUUCUUUAAAGUCAUCCCUAUUCUGCUGUCUAACAGUUCCAACCCUUCUUCACUAAAAAUUAAUUAUCUCCUCAUACAGAAUUCUAAUGAUGUUUCUGUUUGUUUCUAUUGAAAAUAGACUCAUUAAGGAUUUAAGAAUAUAAAUUUAAGCCUAUAAUUAUUUUUGUCCAAUUUUUUAUGAUUUUCCAAAGUUAGUAUAGGGGAACCCGAAAUCAUUCUGACCUUAUCUCACAAAAUUUAUUAUAUCUCAUGAUUUACAAUUCUAUUGCUUACACCGUUUAUCAUAUAAGAAACUAGACUUAAUAAGAUUUAAUUUAAUAUUUUAUUCAUCCUAUAAUUAGAUUUCCAAAAUUUAUGGUGAUUUUUCAAAGUUAACCUACUGCUACUGUCCAAAACUGUUUUACUGCAAAAUAUUGAUUACUAAGUUUAUAACACUCUUAUUUUCCUUCUCUACACUAUUUCUCAUCACUUUCUCUUAUUUUCUCUUCACUAACAUAUCAAGAACAUAAAACCUUAUAUAAUAAAACUCUACAUUAACAUCAAUUUCAUACUUUUUCAAUAAUAGCAAACUCAAAAAUAUAUUGAAAUCUUGAUGCUCUUACCUUGCUCAGUUGAUUUCAAUCUUUAACUUGAUUUUCUCUCUCCUCCAGCCUUUAUUUCUUGAAUCUAACUUGAUAUUCUAGCUCCCCAUAGUCUCCUUGUUAUCUUUCUCUCUUAAUGGAUAUGGAAAUUCUUUUGAUUUUUAGGUGAAAAUGGUAUUUUUUUUGAAAGAGAGACCAAAUUUUAAAGAAAGCAAAACUUUCUUUCUUUCUCUCUUCUCCUCACGUUGGAUGCAUGGAAGAUGAUGGGUUGGUUGAGUUUUUUUUCAUCUUUCUUUCCACAUAUAUAUACUAAACAAUAAAAUAAUAAAAUAAUAAAAUAUUAUUUAAAAAUCAAAUUAAAAUAUUAAUAAACUAAUAUUUAUUUAUUUAUUUAAUCUAAAAUAUCUCCAACAUCAUCAUUAUCUUCUAGAUUUCUCUCUCUUCUAAAUGACCAUUUUCCCUUUAUGAUCUUUUAAAAUUCCAUCCUUGAGUCAUUACUUAAUUUGGUAAAAUUACGAUUUAGUCCCUCAAAAUUCUUCACCUUUUUCAAUUUGGUCCUAAUCCAUCCAUUUUUCUUAGUUUCUAGAUCAUUGCACCCUUAAAAUAUUUACACCUUUGGUCCUUCAACUUUUUUGUAUUUACACUUUAACCCCUCAAAUUUUGAAUAUUUACUCUUGACCCACAAAACUUUUCUCACUUUUGCGAUUUAAUCCUUUCUUGAAUUAAUAUGUCAUAAUAUACUUCCCAAUGUUGACAUAACUCAAUAUUACCCUUUUUAUCACUUUAUUUCCUUAUUUUACUAUACCAAGAAUAAUAUCUUACUGUAGAAAUUUUCAAAAUAUUACAUUUGUGGUCCCAAAACCACUGUUCCAACUAAGCCCAAUUUUAGGCUGUUAUAGACACACCACCGCGUCCCAGCCCGUGUCCGUGCCCGUGUAACUCACUGGCUUAGGUCACACGGCCAAGCCACACUCCCAUGUGCCACGCCGUGUAACUCUCGAAAUGGCCUCACACGCCCGUUUGCCAGGUCGUGUGCUAGGCCAUGUAACUGCCAGACUUGCAACCAUUUGAAACUUACAGGGGACAUACAACCAUGUCGCAUGGCUGUGUGUCACAGACAGCUGAGAUACACGCCUGUGUCUUGGGCCAUGCGAACAAGAAAUAUGCUACUUUUAAGCCAUUUCCUUCACCCAAAUCUUGCUCACACAUACAAGCCCUUUGCACCUAUUUCAAGCAUUCAAAAAUGUACCUAAAAUAUGCAUAAUAAAGCUAUAUCAAUAUGGUAUUUUGCAUACAACCAAUAUGCCAAUAGGUAUCUCAAUUCACAUAGCAUCAAAGAUACUUAAACAUAAGCAUAACUUAGCCAUUUAUCAACUCAACAUUUGCAACAUAAUUCCAUACCAAUUCAUACCACAAUGGCCACAUACUAAGAUCACAUUCAAGCAUACCAAAAGAGCCAUUCAAAAUAUAUCAUCACUAACCAUUUUAACAUUAACCAACAAGCACCAAAAUGCCAAAAUGUCAUCAACCAAAGUACCUUAUUUACCAACCAAACAUAUUGGCUAUUUAAUCAAGUACAAAACACCUAUACAUGCCAUUAUAAUCAUGACUUUAAAACAUCAAAAUAUAUUGAUAUAGUCGAUGGAUAGUGUGAUAAGUCUUUGACGAUAUUUCAACUCGAACAAGCUUCCAAUUAAAUAGAAAAUGUAGUAAAGAACACAAAGUAAGCAUAUAAUUCUUAGUAAGUUCGUAAAUCAUGAAUAAUGCUUACCAUUUAAAUGCAUAAGCUUAAAGAAAUAAUAUGAAUCAAUCUAUUACAAGCUUGACACAAGCCUAAGCAUCACUAACAAUAUAAAUUAAGGCUUAACCACAUUAUUUAAGAAAAUGCAUCACAUGGUAAUGUAAACUUCAAUAUCAUAAUGCAUAUGAUUUCAUAUUUUUCAUCACAUGAAUAUACAUACUUCAUACUUUUCCACAAUUUCAUAGUUAAUUUCAUUGAAGCCCUUACCGUUUCAUCCCCUUUUCAUGCCCAGUAAACCAUUUAGAAUACUAUCAGAUAUGCGAGAAAGCUUACACAAAGUGUGCUAAGUGAUGGUCGAAACCAUCCCUUUUCUUAUUCGAUGGUCAAAACCAUCCCUUUUCAUAUUCGAUGGUCGAAACCAUCCUUUUUCAUAUUCGAUGGUCGAAACCAUCCCUUUUCAUAUUCGAUGGUUCAAACGGGGCUCGAUAGUCAUCGAUAUGUUGUUGGAUUUUUUGUAGAGACAUGAUAUGAUAAUAUGACAUGAUAGCAUUAAAAACAACACAUUAAGAUGCUAUUUAAAUGUACGAACUUACCUCGAUGAUAGAAUGUAUAAACGGAGUUGAUUAAUCCGAAGUUUUAUCUUUGUCCCGAUCUAAAGCCAUGCAAGGUCUAUCUUGAUCUAAAUGAAUGGAUUCAAUCUAUUUAAUAACUAUUCAAUUCAAUUCAAUCCAAUUUCAUAUUUUUACAAAAUUAAAAUUUCUCGCUAUUGUUUUGGUUUCAUUACAAUUUAGUCCCUAAGCUCGUGGGAUAAGUGAUGGGGGAGGAAUGAACCGAGCAAAAAGAAAAAAACAAGAGGUGGAAAUGGGGAGAACUUUGACGACAGUACAGUUCGACUCGUGCGUAGAAAACUAUUGGAUGGUAUAUCACCUUGCAAGGUAGCGCUGGCGACCAGCCCCGCCAAGAGCAAUGAAGCUUUUAUGUUAGAACUGUCGUGGUACGAAAGUUUGAUAGUUGAAGUAACUUCUCGUUGCAAAUGAACCCGAUGUUAUUUUUUAUGCGGAACAAAAUUGCAAAAUAUCAAGUUUCCUCGUAUUCGAAAUAUAUGCAAGAUGGAUGGUUGUAUGGUUGCCAAAGCUAUAGGAAAGAGUGGUGGCCUUCCAAUGAUAUGGAAGUAGGGCACAAAGGUUGAAAUAAAAAAUUACUCUAAUAAUCAUAUCGAUUCCUUGAUUCAUAUGGAUAAUGACAAUCCCAUUAGAUUGACGGGGUUUUACGGGAAUGCCAACCCUAACAAUAGAAGAAGCUCUUGGGACAUGUUAAAGAGGGUGGGAAGCAUAGUUAAGGAAACAUGGAUUAUUAGAGGGGAUGUCAAUACAAUUCUUAAUGACUCGGAAAAAGAGGGCAGUUAAAGGAAACCAAAAGCUUUGAAGGAUGAGUUUCGUGAGGUAGUAGAUGAGCUCUCUUUAGUUGACUUAAAAACGGAUAAGGGUUGGUAUACUUGGGUCAACAACCAUGAAGGGAGUGCUAUGGUUAAAAAGAGGCUAGAUCGUUUUAUGAUAUUAGCUAAUGAGGUCGCAAAUUUUCCUUUCAUCGAGACAAAGGUUAUCCGUCAGUCAAGCUAAGAUUAUGACGCAAUUUGUCUUGACACCAUUAGUCGUAAGCCGAAAGAGGGAGCUAGGGAUCCAAGACUUAGAUUUAGAUAUGAUAUCUACUGGUCAAAGGAGGAAGAUGCUAAUAAAAUUAUUAAGAAGGCGUGGAAUGAUAACACUAUGGACAUUAUGGAUAAGAUGAAGAUGGUGGGCCAUACCCUCAGUCAAUGGCAGUAUGAACAGUACUAUAAGAUGAGAAAUCAAAUUGGGGUUUUGAAGUCUAAAAUAAAUAACAUCAUUGAUGGUCCGGGUAGCAGGUACAAUGGGAACAGGUUAAAAGCCAUGAGAUUGAAGCUUGGGCAUCUUUUAGACAAAGAUGAGAAAUACUGGAAAGGAUCUGUUGGCUAAAAGAAAGUGAUAGAAACACUAGGUUUUUCCGUUAAAGCAAAUAGUAGAAGGAAAAAAAAUAGCAUUGACAGACUCAAAGAUACUCAUGGAUGCUGGAAAGAAAACACAAAGGACAUUUGUGCGGCAGCCAGGAGUAUUUUCAAAAUUUAUUUGUUUCUACAUUAUCUUCUAAUGUUCAGUUGAAUGUUGAAUAUAUUGAUUAUUGUGUGUCAGUGGAAACGAAUGAGAAUUUGACUAAGGAUUUCACUGACAAGGAAAUAGUGGAAGCUUUCAACCAAAUGGGCCCUAGAAAAGCCCCAAGAAUUGACGGUCUGUUAGGAAGUUUUUUUUAAAGAUAACUGGGAGGUGGUAGGAGUGGAUGUUAUAAAAUUAUGCCAUGAUGUCCUUUAUGGAAAUCGUACUAUGGAUAGUUUAAAUGAGACGAUUAUUAUUUUAAUCCCUAAAAUAAAAGAACCUUUGGACAUGACUAAUUUUAGGCCUAUUAGCCUUUGUAGUGUUUUGUAUAAAAUUAUUGCCAAAGUAUUAGCAAAUCGACUAAAGGCUACUCUUUCGAAGUGCAUUAGCCAAAACCAACGUGCUUUUAUCCCCGGGAGAAUGAUUCAUGACAACAUUCUGAUCUCACACGAGUUGGUUCACUACUUAAAAAGUGCUAAGAAUGGUCCUAAUAAGGGCUUCGUAAUCAAGCUUGAUAUGAGCAAGGCGUACGACCGCGUCGAGUGGAGCUUUAUUGAGGUAGUCAUGAGAAGGAUGGGUUAUGUAGAUACUUGGGUGGACAAAAUCAUGAGCUGCGUUAGUUCUGUCCAUUACGUUGUAAAGUGCAACUCCACUUUCUCCGAGACUAUUAUUUCGAAAAGGGGUCUUAGACAAGGGGAUCCUCUAUCUCCUUAUAUUUUUCUUUUUUUGCAUGGAAGCCUUAUCAAAAUUUUUAAUCCAAGUGUAAAAUAAUAAUUUUAUUAGGGGAAUUCGAGAUAGUAGAAAUGGUCCUAGAAUAAAUCUUUUUUUUUUGCAGAUGACGCACUACUUUUUAUACAAAAUAAUGAAAAGGAUGUUGAGAAAAUUGUGAAAAUUAUGACAAAAUUUUCAAAAGCUUCGGGCCAAAGUAUUAACAAAGAUAAAUCUAUGAUCAUGUUUAGUCCUAAAACUCCUUGGCCGCAAAGGCAUCUUUUUUGUAAUAUGCUUGGUAUACGUGUGGUGGACAAGUUUGAUAGUUAUCUAAGGCUUCCAUUACCUAUUAGCAAGAAAAAGUCAGAUGUCUUCACUAAUAUUAUCAAUCAUUGCUCUUGCGGGAUAAAAGUUCGUUGAAAGACUUCUAUCCUAUGGCGAAAAAGAGAUCUUCAUUAAGGUUAUCAUUUAAUCGAUCUCGACCUACACUUUUUUGGUGUUCCUUAUACUUAACGGUAUCAUCGAUGAUCUCCAUUCGAAAAUGAGUCGUGCUUGGUGGACAAGCAAUGAGAAGAUGCGUGGUUGGGCCAUGAUGAAGUGGGAGAGAAUGUGUUACCCAAAGGGGGUUGGAGGUAUGGGUUUUAGGGAUAUGAAGUGGUUUAACUUGGUUCUCCUUGGUAGGCAAGUUUGGAGGUUGAUGCAUUUCAAGGAUAUGUUAUGCUUUAGAGUCUUAAGUGCUAAGUACUUUCUAGAGGGGGAUAUUUUGUGUUCUAAAUCUUGUGACAAGCCUUCGUACACGUGGUCUAGUAUAGCUAAGGUGACUGAGUUUCUCAAAGAGGGUUUUGUGUGGCUCGUGGGGUAUGGCAAUAUAAUUGAUAUCAAGAGGGACCAAUGGGGGUUUGAAGGCCUCAAUGGGGAUUCUGUUUGUAGGGAAAAGUUGUAUAUAAACGAAAGGAAAGUUAAGGACUUAUGAGACCCUAAUUGUAAAACUUGGAAAGAGGAUAGGGUUAUUGAGUUAUAUGGUUGUAUGUUGGGGGAUCAGAUAUGCACUAUCUCCAUUUCUCAUAAUGGCAUUAAAGAUGGUAGAAUCUGGUUUCAUAAUAAGUAUGGGAUUUACGCGUCGAAGUCAGCCUACUCUUGGUCUUUACUUAAGAGAAUUGGGUUCGGUCCCCAUAGAAAUUUUUGGAAAAUAAUCUGGAAAUUGAACAUGCUCCCCAAGAUCAAAGUUUUUAGUUGGAGACUUGGCCAUGAUUUGCUGCCCACUUAUGACAACAUUGCUCAUAUCAGGCAAAAAUUUUCCAAUACCUGUCCAAGAUGUAAUAACAGUGAAGAGACGAUUAUCCAUGUAAUGAAAGAUUGCCCUAUGUCUUGUGAGAUCCUUACUCUUGGCAGCUUAAACAAUAAAUUAUUGGAAGGGAAUUAUGAUCGCUGCAUCGACUGGCUAGAAAAUGGCCUUCGUGUGUUGGAUGCCAAAGCUGCUGUAGAUUUCUUCACCCUCCUUUAGGAUAUCUGGAAUAAUAGGAAUAAUUUGGUUUUCAAUGGAAAUGGGGAUGUGGUUGGGAAGGUUUGGAAAAAGGCAAAAACCCUCAGUGAUGAUUUCAGAAUAUACAACAUCACAUAUCCACCUGUUAUCCCUCUUAUUUUGGCAAAUAAAAAAUGUAUGAAACCACGGAUGGGCUAUGUUAAAAGUAACUUUGAUACAGAUAUCUCAAACAGUGGCGUAGGGUAUGGUGUCAUUUCCAAAGAUUUGGAUGGUUUUUUUAUAGGGGGAUGCUAUGGCUUUAAACACAAACAACUGGACAUAAAUUGGGCAAAAAUAGAAGCUUUUGUAGAGUUUGAAGCUGACAGCUACUUUGAACGCGCCAAAUACUAUUUUUGAAUCUGACAGUUCAAAUUUGGUUAAUAAAGUCAACUAGUGAAAUGAAGAUUUGACUAUUCUCGGUCGAUGCAUUAAAAGGGAGUGCAAGGGAUUUAAUAAUUUUGAUUCGCUCCAAAUGAAAUCGGUUAACCGAAAUAACAAUCAAGUGGCUGAUUUCCUUUGUAAUUUGGCUAUUAAAAAGAGAUAUAAUUUGUUUUUUAAAAUGAAUUAUCCUUUGGAAAUCCAUAACAUUGUAAUUCAAAAUGCUAUUAAUUGAGUUUGGACCCUUUGGGUCGUUUUUAUCAAAAAAAAAAAAAAGAGAAAAGGAAAUGCAUGCAAAUUCAUCCUUAACCCAAGCUAGCCAAAUUUCAGAUGCAUCCAUAGUAACUUAUACAUUUCAUUAUUUCAUUAUUUCCACCACACAUUUUAUAGAAUUUACAAAUAAAUCUCUAAUUGACAUUUUCAACCAAAAUCACUUUACAAAAGUUGUUUAUCUAACAACAUAGAUUCAUUUUCUUCCAUCAAACAUAAAAAACAACUUGAACACAUUCAUGGAAACACCGUAAUCUUUUAAUAGUUUUACAAAUUAGUCCCUGGGCUAGCUAGAUUAAGCUACAACGACUCCAGCUAGAGGAUGUUGUGACACAUCCCUGAAGCCAAACUUGAGUUAAGCAUACUACCUUCGAUGUCGCGACACAGGCCUUGCAUGAAAAAUAAUAAUGAGCUGAGGGCAUUUUGGUUUGUACAAUGUAUUUUUACGUAUAAACUUUAGCUGACCUAAGGCUAAGGACGAUGGCUAACCCUUACUCUAUGAAUAGACUCAUUAGACAAUUGUUUAGGGACAGUUUUCAUAGUUCAUAAUUUUCUUUGUAAUUUAGUUUUCAAUUUUUGGUUAUUCUUAGGCUUUAGAUUUAUUUUAGUUAUUUUGUUCGUGUUCAACAGAGAAUCUAAUUUGUGGAUUUGACCAACUCUUUAUGGACUUCGCGCCUUCAAUUCAAUCAAUAUAAUAAGGAUUGGUCUUCUGGGACUACAACUAUUUGGUUGUAUCCCAAAUAUCCAUCUAAGAAACAAUAAUAUUCAUUACCUGCUAGUUGAUCUAACUUCUAAUCCACAAAAAGCAAUGGAAAAUGGCCCUUUCGAGUAGCCUUGUUCAAUUUUAUGUAGUCUAUACAGAUUCUCCGACCCAUGACCAUUCUUGUCGGGAUUAACUCGUUAUGUAGAUUCUCGAAAAUUGUGAUUCCACGUACACAUUGUACUGGACUUACCCAUGAAUUAUCUGAGAUAGGGUAGAUAAUUCCUGCAUCUAACCAUUUGAUCACUUCCUUUCGAACUACCUCUUUCAUGAUUGGGUUGAGUCUCCUUUGCCCACCAAUCCUAGCUCUUUCGCCCUACUCUAGGAUAAUUAUGCAUACAAAAAGAAGAGCUUAUACCUCGAAUAUCAGCUAUGGUCCAAUCGACCGCCUUUUUAAUUUUUUUUAAAAAUUUGAUCAAUUGCUCCUCUUAGUGUUCUGUUAAGUUUGCUAAAACAAUCACAGGAAAAGUAGAACAAUUACCUAAAUAAACGUAUUUUAAAUAGGAAGGAAGUACCUUAAGUUCGAGUUUGGGUGGCUCCUCGAUUGACAACUUGGGUUGCACAAACUCCCGAACUUCGAAUUCUAGUGGUUCAAACCAUGCUGGUUGAACAUAAACCCUCAGAUUGGCUUCCAUCAAAGCUUUUUUUUCAUUACCUUUUUCAUCUUCCAAUGGUUUUGACCCUAAAGUGUUCUCCAAUGGGUCUUCAAAAUUGUUCUCCCAUUCUAUAGAAACUAAGGUUUCUAGCUCCUUCAUUACUGAACAUUCCUCCAUCGGAUCAGGGAAUUUUAUAGCUUUAAGAACAUUAAAUUUUACUUGAUCAUCGUUAACUCUCAUCGUGAGUUCUCAUUUUUGCACGUCAAUCAAUAUUCUUCCCGUGGCUAGGAAAGGUCUCCUUAGGAUGAUCCAAACUUACUCAUCUAGUUCAAAAUCUAAGACAAUGAAAUCAUCAGGAAAUAUGAAUUUAUCGACUCUUGCCAAAACAUCCUCGAUCGUUCCUUUAGGGUAUACUAAAGAUCGAUUUUCCAGUUGAAGUGUCAUAGUAGUAGGUCUUACUUCGCCUAUUCCCAAUAGUUUGAAAAUAGACUUGGGCAUCAAGUUGGUGCUCGAUCCUAAGUCGAAUAAAGCUUUACCAUAGUAAGAUUCUCUAAUAUUACAGGAUAUAGUAAAGCUUCCAGGUUCCUCCAGUUUCAGAGGAAGCUUGUUCUGUAAGAACGCACUGCACUCCAUUAAAGCGACAGUUGGAAACACAAAAAAUAUAUAGACUUUUUCAUACCCUUUUUAACUCAAAUUCAUGCAGUUUCGUAGUAAUUCUUGUUGAAAAAUAUAAUAUAAUUAUAAAAUAAUUAAAUUGUACUCAAAUUAUCAACAUAUUUAAUUUUAAUUAAUUUUAUAAUUAAUUUUCAUAAAUUUUGAUUUAUUUUCGACAGGUUUGCACAAAAAGUGAAAAUUGGCUUCGUAAACACUAUUAGAAGACAAAACUGUGAAACAAUUUUUGAAGCAUCGAGGCAAAAUAAAUUUUCAGCCUAAGAUGGUCCAAAUUAUGAACAUUAAUACAUAGUAUAAUUAAUUUUAAUUUUAAUCCAAUUUAUUUUGGUUUAAAUAAUAAUUAUUAAUUAUAUUAUGAAAGGAUGCUUAGUUGUGCUAAUACGAGAGGCUGAUCCAACCGAGCAAUCGGUCUACCAAAAACCAUCCAACAUGCUGACCAAAUCAGCUCAAAAUAGCUGAUUUAUUGACUUGCAAAUCAGCCCUUGAGGUCUCUUUGAAAUUGCAUUCAAAACCCUUUGCUUUUUGUGCUUUUAAAGAUUCAACCCAAGCUAAAUUUAGCAAGUUUUAAACAUUCAAACUUGCCACAUGUGUGGCUGGACAAGGGGGUAUAUGGCUGCUGGUUUUUUUUCUAUUUUUAGCAGCCAAUACCAUCUAUAAAUACCCCUUUCACCUAUUCAUUUCAACACACCUUUCAUUCCACACAUCUCUCUCUCUUUCACUCACUUUCUCUCUUCGAAACCUCUAUUUGUUUCCCAUUUUUCCCUUCCAUUUCCUUUUUCGAUUGCCCUCUUGGAAAAGAUCCCUUCAACCAACUUGGGUAGUAGAAUUCAAGUAUUUGUAGAAACUUUGGUUCAACAAGAACGAGCAGAGAAGGAGGAGCGAAGCAAACUAGUCAGGCUUCGGAGAAACACAAGAUUUGAUUCUAGUUUCCUAUCCUUUAACUUUUAUUGUUGCCGUUAUGAAAAUGUCUAUAAAUAUUUGUUAUGUUGUUAUUAUAAAUUUAAUUAACAUGGCUUAAAUUUAAUUUGUGUUAGAUUGAUUGCAUUUCGUCUACUUAAUUUAUUAAAAUCAUGUUUGUGUUGUUAUAGGUCUUAGUAAAUUGUUUGAUUAAGUAAGACCAUGAUUAUGUUAUUCUUGCAUUACGAUUGUAAGGCAGCUAAAGAAUUAAUUAUUAAUUGUAUUGAAAUUGUAAAUUUACAAAAUACUUAAUUAGUGCAUGCUUAAUCUUCUAAGGUAGCUGAGGGUUAAAUUAGUGACAAUAUGAAACGGUACUUUAGCCUUGCAUAACUUGCAUUGGAAUUUUUACUUUUUAUUUUUAUUACUUAGUUAAUUUUUAGUUUUUACAUCACUUUUUCAAAACAAAUGAUUUUCCUUCACUAAAGUGCUUUUAAUUGCAUUUCAUAAAUACUUUCUUAUACAGUCCCUGUGGGUACGAUAACUUGACAUUUACUUGUCACUUUAUUACUUGUGAUUGUGUACACUUGCACAUUUCCAUCGUUCCAAGGUUUUGACCAGUAGCCAUAUACCCCAUUGGCCGGCCACACAUGUGGCAAGUUUGAAUGUUUCAAACUUGCUAAAUUUAGCUUGGGGUGAAUCUUUAAAAGCACAGAAAGUGGAGGGGUUUGAAUGCACACCGACAACGACACCAAAAACUUGGAAUGAUGGAAAUGUGCAAGUGCACACAAUCCCAAAAAGUAAUAAGGUGACAAGUAAAUGUCGAGUUAUCGUACUCACAGGGACUUUGCAAAGAAAUAUUUAUGAAAUGCAAUUAAAAACACUUUGGUGAAGGAAAAUCUUUUGUUCUGAAAAUGGUUUAAUAAACUAGAUUUAAAUUAAUUAAGAAAAUUAAAUGGUAAAAAUUUCAAAGCACGAUUUCUGAAAAAUAAGUUUAAUCAAUAUGACAUAAUUGUGCUAGGUCAAAUACAUUUCUUAAUUUAAUAUUACUAAAACAAUGUUCAUGUUGUUACGAAUAAAUUCACAGUAACUUGGUAAUUUGUUAACUAUAUAACAUACUAACUUACAAAAUUAACUAAUCUCUUCAACAUAUUACUAUGCCAAUUCAAAAAAUUAAUCAAUUUUAAUAAGAAAGUAAAAGAUUAAGUGAGGUAACAAUAUAUUCCUACAUUGAAACAGUUUAAUCAUAAUAAUCUUGCAAGUUAUGCAAGGCUAAUGUACCGUUUAAUACCGUCACUAAUUUAACCCUCAGCUACCUUAGAAGGUCAAAUAUGGACUGAUUAAGUAUUGUGUCAAUUAAUUAAAAUUUCAAUAUGAUUAAUAAUUAAUUCAUUAGUUACCUUACAAUUGUAAUGCAAGUAUAACAUAAUCAUGGUUUUACUUAAUCAAAUAAUUUACCAAGACUUAGAACAACACAAAAAUGAUUUUAAUAACUUAAGCAGACGAAAUGCAAUGAACCUAACACGAAUUAUAUUUAAGCCAUGUUAAUUAAAUUUAGAAUAACAACAUAACAAAUAUUCAUAGACAUGUUCAUAAUAACAAGAAAAGUUAAAUGAUAGGAAAUUAGAAUCAAAUUUGGUGUUUCUUUGAAGCCUGACUAGUUUGCUCCGCUCUUCAUUCUUCGCUCAUUCUGUUGAACAGGCUUCUAUAAGCACUUGAAUGCUGCUACCCAAGGUGGUUGAAAGGCGCUUUUUCAAGAGGGAAAUCAGAAAAGGAAAAUAGAAGGGAAAAAUCAGAAACAAAAGAGAGAAAGUGAGUGAAAGAGAGAGAGAUGUGUGGGAUGAAGGUGUGUUGAAAUGAAUAGGUGAAGGGGGUAUUUAUAGGUGGGAUUGGCCGGCCACACAUGUAGCAAAGUUUGAUUGAAAGUUUCAAACUUUGCUAAAUUUAGCUUGGGGCAAAUCUUUAAAAGCACAGAAAGUGGAGGGGUUUGAAUGUAAUUUCAAGGAGACUUCAAGGGCUGAUGUUCAAGUCAAUUAAGAAACCAUUUUGAGCUAAUUGGGUCAGCAUGUUUGACGAUUUUGGGCAGCCCGAUUGCUCGGUUUGAUCAGUCUCUUGUAUUAGCACAAUUGGGUCUCCUUUCCAUAAUAUAAUUAAUAAUAAUUGUUUAACCCAAAAUAAAUUGGAUAAAAAUUAAAAUUAAUUAUAUUAUGUACUAAUAUUUAUAAUUUGGACUGUCUUAGGCUGAAAAAUUAAUUUACCUCAAUGCUUCAAAAAUCGCUUCCCGAUUUUGCGCUUCUAGCAGUGUCUGCCGAGCCAAAUUUCACUCUUUGUGCAAAUCUGUAGAAAAUAAAUCAAAAUUUAUGAAAAUUUAUUAUAAAAUUAAUUAAAAUUUAAUAUGUUAAUAAUUUGAGUACAAUAAAAUUAUUUUUCGACAAGAAUUACUACGAAACUGCAUGAAUUUGAGUUAAAAUGGGCAUGAAAAAGUCUAUAUAUUUUUGUGUUUCCAACAGUCUCAUAUUUACUCUAAAGCCUCCCCCAAUGGAUGUUGAUGAACUUCACGUAAUUGGGCAUUUGCUCUAAAGCCUCCACCAAUGGGAUGUUGAUGUGAAGUUACUUUAGAACAUCCAGAAAUUUCUUGAAUUGCACCUCCUGUUUCUGCUUAUUUGGCUGGAACUUUUGAGGAUAUGGAGGUGAUAAAACUUUGGGUUGGAUUGGACAAAUAUUUUGAGGAGAUGAAUCUGUAUCUAAAAAAGAUGUUAGUUUUCCAGAAUUCACUAGUUAGGUUUUACCUUAUCAGACUUCGUAAGUUCUGGCUCAGUUGGUGUAGGAAUUUCAACUAUUGGUUGACUUCCCUCCUUUUCAAUGGUUUCAUCUUCAAUCACAACCUCCCUGGGUUCCAAAGUCUCACCACUUCGUAAGGCAACUACUUUGUAAUGUUCCUUACCCAAAUUUCUUGGAUUUUCUAUAUCGCUCAGCAAGGCUCCUUGUGGUCGGUUACGAAGCUCCGUAGUUGACUGACCCAUUUGGUUUUCCAAAUUUUUUAGUGUUGCUACUUGGAUUUGGAUUAAAGCAUCAUUCUUCAGCAUGUAUGCCUUCAACAAGUUCUCCAAACUAUUGGAUGACUCAACUUGUUGUGGUUUUAGAGCUUCUUGAUUGAACCCUUGGGGUUAGGUGGGUUUAUGCUGCAUGUAAUUGUUGUGUGGUCCAUUUCCUCGGUAACUCCAAGAAAAUUUUGGAUGGUUGCACCAUGAAGGAUUGUAGAAGUUGGACUGUGGUCCGUGUCCACUUCUAUUUUGGUGUUGAUUCCCUACGUAAUAAACUAACUUGAGAUUUUAUGGACAAUUCUCAAAAUAAUGACCAUCCCUACAAUAAAUGUAGGAAACAACAUCAAACUGACUUGGUGACUAAGCUGAAAAAUUAUUCAAACCAUUAGAAGUAAAUAGUUUCAACAUUGAAAAAAUAGAAGAUACUUGAGCUAAGAAUGAUCUAAGUGCGUCCACUUCGUGCACUCCGGCUACUCGUCUUCCUGAAGUUGCUCGAUUUGUUGACCAUUGAUAGUUUUUACUAGCAAUCCUCUCAAUGAUCUUGUAAGCCUCAUUAUAAGACUUAGAAAAAAUCACACCAUUCGUAGAAGCAUCUACCAUCAACCUUGUGUGUGCAUUGAGACCAUUAUAAAAUGUCCCCAACUGGAUGUAGUGUGGAAUCCCAUGAUAAGGGCACUUAUGAAGUAAUUCUUUGAAUCUCUCCCAUGCCUCGUACAAAAUUUGUCAUCCAAUUGUUGAAAAGUGGUUAUCUUAUUUUGCAACUUAGCGUUUUUGAUAGGUGGGAAAUACUUAACCAAAAAUCUUUCUACUAAUUCUUGCCAUGUAGAUAUUGAACUUGGUGGCAACGAAUUAAGCCAUACUCGUGUUCAAUCCGCAACAAGUAUGGAAACAACUUCAACCUUAAUGCGUCUUCGCUCACAUCGACUAUCUUAAACGAAUCACUCACCUCCAUGAAUAAUCGAAGGUGAAUGUGUGGAUCUUCCGUGGGCAUUCAACUAAACUAGCCCACUAUUUGGAGCAUUUGAAACAUCACUAGUUUCAAUUCAAAUUACGGUGCCUCAAUCUCUAGUCUCAUGAUUCUCGAAUUUAAUUUAUUGAAGAGUGGCAUAGUGUAUUGUCUUAUGGCAUGAUCCCUAUCAUCAGUAAUAAGGAUUGGAUUGUGCACAUGAUUGGCUCAAUUUCCAUAUCCAUCAUUUUGAUUUCCAAGGUCCAUCUCAGCUUGUCUUCGAGUUGAUCUUUUGUGUCUUCUCUAUCUAAAUGUCUGCCCGAUCUCAGGGUCUAUAUAUAAUAAAUUGAUAAUUUAAUCUAUGCUCAUAAACACCUAAAAAAUAAAUAACAAAAAGUAAAGAAUAAAGAAUAAAGUAAGGUUAAAACUUAGAUAAAAAAGAAAUAAAUACCAAAUUGAAAAGAAUAAUUUCACAAAAAUGAUUAAGGGAACAGUCCCCGACAACGAUGACAGAAACUUGUAACGCUCGGUUUGUGUAAGUGUACACAGUUGUUAUCAAGUAAUAAGUAAGUAAAAGAGUUAUCAUCUUCACAGGGACUGUGUAUGUUAAUCAAUAUAUUGCAAAAUUGAAGUUAACAAUUUUAUGAUAAAAACAUAAUAUCUUGAGUGAUGGGUGAUUAAGUAAAUUAAAUUAUCUAGAUGCAAGAUUGAUCCCUAAUGCAAUUUAAACUAAAUGCGAAGUAUGAAAUGAAAUGUAUGAAUGAAUAUAGCAAAAACACAAACUUCAACAAUCAAUAACAUGAAUAAGCUAGGAUAAUUACAUCAUUCAACUUAGCUUAUUUUUAUCAUGUUUAACAGUGUUCAAAAAUUAUUCUAUGGCAACUCGAUCUUUCAUGAGUUUGGAAAACAAAUUAAGCCCUUUUAGAAUCUUUAACUUAGUAAAACAUGCAUUUUACUGAUCAUAUUAAACUAAGGGUUUCUUAGGAUUCAUGUGAAGUAACAGGGACGGGUUAGGUUUGAAAUAGUUUAAUCACAUAAACCUAAAAAUUAUGCAAGAUAAUAGAUCUCGUUAAAGUUAUUAUGAACCUUUAAUUUAGUCGAGUUAGGAUCUAAAUUAAGCAUGCACAUUUCAAUUAUUGUGUCCACUAACCAUCAUCUGGUUAGGAUCGCUCAGCUAAUUCUAAUGCAUCCAAUCACGUAUGAAUGAAAUACAUACUUGAGUUUAAUUGAGACAUGAUUGAAUGAGGCACAAACACCAUAAACAUGGUUUAAACAAACCUCAUUAAAUAAAUGCAAUCAUCCUAGAUAAAUAGAAUUAAGCUACCAUUGUUGAUGAGAAGAUAAUAAAGCACAUUACAAACAUGAUUAAAAUCAAAAUACCAAAGUAAAGGAAGAAUAAACUCUGUCGAAUCAGCAGUCUUGUGAACUCUAAUUAAAGAUGUUUUCCUUCGAUCCUUGUGUUUCUCCUUUGCUAAUGGCUUCUCAAGGUGACCUGCUAAGAGGUAAUCUUAUCAAAGUUUUUGGCAAAGAAAGAAAAUAUGGGAUGCUAUGCAUGGAAAUGAAGAGAGGAAAUGAGAGAAUGGAAGAAUGAUAUGAAAUGAAAGAUGAGGGAUUGAGUAAAGGAUGAGGGAUGUAGGGAUGAGGGAUGAUUGAAAUGGGGAAUAAGUGGGGAUAUUUAUACUUGAAGUAGAUGGUAGAGUUUACUAAAAAUAGGGAUUAAAAUCCCUCCAUUUUCUCCAUUGCUUGGUCAAUCACAUUUUGUGGAAGAAGGUGGAUGAUGGUUCCUUUAUUUAAGCAUAGAAUCUUGCUAAAUUUAGGCAUGGGUUGGAUGGAUUCAAGGGAAAUCUUUUUGUGCUGAUUUCCAAUGAUUCUCCAAAUGAAGGGACCUCUAGAUUUUUGGGCAGCCAACAUGCUUGUGUUGAAUUUGGGCUUGACUCCCCCUUGUUGGACGGUUCUAUGACCCAUUAAAUAAUCAAACUUGUCUAGCAUGUAGUAUCAUUUUAAUUGGGUCAAAAUUACACCUUGUUGACCCAUUUAGCAUGGUUUUGCCAUCCAAUAUAGGAAAUAAAUAGUUCAUGUUUAUGCAACUUUAUAUUCAGCUUUUUAUUAAAUCAACUUUAUGGUCCCAUUGUACAAAUAAAUAUAACAAUUAAUAAAUAACAUGAAAUAAUUUAAUUUAUGCACAAAAUUCAUGUAAUAAAGCACAAAUUUGCAUAUUUUAUAAAUUCAUGUCUAUUAUCGAGGUUUAAGCAAAAUUCACUAAAUUACUUAACAAAUACUUGAUAUUAGUAUUAUUUUAAAGUAAAAGGUGGUAAAAGCUACUAGAAAAAACCUAUAUAAAAUAGAGUUUACACGGACACUGCUUCAUUAUCAUAUCUUUAGUUGCAGUAUUCACACUCUAGAUGUUACUAUGUCCGGAGGUGUUCAUAACUCACACGCAAAUCCUACUCAGGAUUGUCUCUAAUCAGUCAUCAUUAUUGCACGCUUCCACUAAUUAAUCACAUCCUAUGAGGCUCCUCAAGUGUCCUAAUUUCUGACACUUUACCUCUACUAGGUUGUUAGAAGACUUAAAAUUGUCCUAGUAACUACUAUAAUUAUAUUAGAAGCGACAUAAAAACAUGGGUGGCGAUAUUAUUAGUGAGAAAGUCCACCUAAUAAGGUUCUCGUCACAACCAAGAACUCGACAUUCUACAGAGUGGAACUCUACAGUAUUGGCGAAGUUCAACGAAGUACUUUGCGAUGAAGUCACCAUCCUCAUUUUGUCUAAGUCUCUUGACUUAGGUGAUCUUCGCUAGCAUAGUCUCCCAAACUAAAUCGGCUGGCCAAAUGAGGGUGUGAUAAUGAAUUUGUAAUAAAAAGGGAAAGGAAAAAUGCAACCUGAGGGUAAGAACAAAAAAUCGGGAGAUAGAAGAAAAAAGAAUAUUGGAAAUAAUGGAAAGAAAGGUAAAUUUCCACUAUGUUCACACUACAAAAAGAAAUGACACAUCUAGAGAAAUAUUACUGGUACAAAUUAGACAUACAAUGCAGGUAUCACAAACAACUUGGCCAUGUGGAGAAAGUUUGCAAGAACAAAAACUCAUAAGAAUAAGAACAACAAGCUAGAGUAGCAAAUACCUUGCAAUAAGAGGAUGGAAUAGUUUUUGUUGCUUCUUGCUAUGCACCAUAAACUUACUCAAGUGCUUGGCUCAUUGAUAGUUGAUGCAAUCAUUGCAUGGCAUCAAACAUCAACUUAUUCAAGGAGAUAGACAAAACUUGUUUUUCCAAAAUCAAAAUUGGUGAUGCUGAGUUUAUAGAAGUCAAAGGAAGAGGAGUUGUGACAAUUGAGACAUGUUUAGGUACAAAACAUAUUCCAAAUGUUUUAUUUGUACCAAAAAUAGAUCAAAAUCUCCUCAAUUUAUGAUAACUCUUAGAAAAUAAUUAGUGUUUAAAGACAAAGAAUGCAUAAUUUAUGAUCCAUCAAGCCAUGAACACUUUACUAUUUGUAUUAAAGGAAAUUAUUUCUCCUUACACUUGGAUCAAUCUAGUUCAUUAGCUUAUAUUUGCUUAGUUAAUGAAUCUGAAUUGUGGUAUAAAAGGAUGGGCCACUUCAACUACAAGGACCUUAAUCACAUAGACAAGAAUGAAUCAGUGUUGAACAUGCCCACAAUUACAGAACAUUCUAAAGUUUGUGAAGUAUGUCAACUAGGAAAGAUAAAAAAACUUCCUUUUUACAUUGACAAGGCUUGGAGAGCUUUUAAAAGCUUCAAUUUAUUCACAUUGAUGUUUAUGGGCCGAUGAAUAUGGUAUCCUUGAAUGGCAACAAAUAUUUCACUAUUUUUAUAAAGGAUUUUACUAGGAUGUGUUGGAUAUACUUCAUAAAACAAAAAUUUGAGGUAGUAAAUGUGUUUUAGAGCUUCAAGGCAUGGAUUGAAAAUCAAGCUGAUUGCAAAAUCAAAGUCAUCAACUUAGAUAAUGGUACUGAAUAUACAUUUGAAAGAUUAGAUGAGUUUUGCAGAAUUCCAAGUAUCGAGCACCAGUUGGUUGUAACUUAUACUCUAAAAUUUUGAUCCUUAUUUCGAGGAUUUGUGAACCACAUCAAUUUCAACCAACUAGCAUUUGUUAUUUAAUUGUUAAUUUCAUAACUUUGCAUGUUUUACAAUUUAGUCCUUGCAAGCUAGAUAGUGAAGUAGAUUAAUUUCUCUUGAUUUUAAGAUUUUUCGUAAUAUAUAUUUUUUUGCAAUUAGUUGGUUAGACUAUUUAUUUUACAUGCACAUUGGUUAAAAAUUCUUCAAUCCACGAUUCUCUUGGGUUCAAUCCUUAUAAUACUCUAGUGUUCCAUUAUAACAAUACAAAUAGUACAAUUGAAUAGUCACACUUGUAGUAAAGUCGUGAUUUUUAUAUUGUAUUUUAAUUCAAGAGUGUUGAUCUUCAUAUCUCUCUUUACUCGUUCGCAAGGAUGGAGAGAAAGAGAAGCCGCCAAGUUGUUGGCGUUGUUGCCAUCUAUUAGUCCUUUCCCUUAACACUAACACUGUUGACGUUUUUCAAGCUAUACUUCUUUUCUCCAUUUUGCAGUGUAAACGUAUUUGCUUAGGCCAUUGGAUGAACCGCGGAAUGAAAUAAUUUAUGGCAAGAGGUAAAGUUGGAAUCUAUUUUCCACGCCUGAUUAUAAAUUUAUGCCAUAAGAUAAAGGUGAUUAUAGACCCAAUGGAGCAAUCAUACCAACUUGUCCGUAGCAUAAUUGGCGACACAAUGCUUCAUCAGUUUUAGGCCAUUCAUCGAUAACAAAGUAAGGAUUGAAACCAACAAAAGAAGACUAAGAUGAAUAUUCCACCAUCUCGUUCGAAGAAAGCGUCCACUAAAAUGACAUCUAGGGGCCUCGAAAAGCAACUCGAGAAAUCAUUUAAGGAGGCCCGAUACACUAAUUAAAGUGUGGACGUAAUGUAAAUUUUCACGGAUGCAUUCAUGGAGAGCCAAGGGAAAGAUCCUAUUUAGUGAUCGAUGAGGUCCAAUGAUGAAGCUAUAGAGGAAGAGGAAUCUAACGAGGAGGAAGCAGCUGAUGAUGACGCUACACCGUACCAUGACGUCUUUGAGGAUUUGUUUGCAUCCAAACAACCAUUCAUGUAGGGCCUCGUCAUCUGUGACUUGAGCAACCAACUUGGGGUGUCAAAUAAGAAGUGGAUUGUCAAGGGGAAAGACAAAGGAGUAGUCAGACCGAACGAGGGUCCAUGAGGAGAUUUGCUAGAGUUACAUGUUUUCGUAUUUUAUUUUUAUUUCUUUGUACGACAUGUAAACUCUUAAACUACACUACUUUUGGAACUUAUUUUUUGUUUUUAGAUUUUUUAUUUUGGUUGUUUUUGUGUGUUUUUUUCUAGGUGCAGCGAAUUACCCUGAAAGAUGUCACAACAUUCGCGAGCUUUAACGAGGAGGUGGACCCCCGAGCUAGUCUGACGCUCUAUUCUAGGGAAGUUCAAUAACCCCUUAUCUUUUUCAGGAACACAUUGGGGGCAAUGCGUAGUGUAAGUGUGGGGGGAUGCGCAUAGUUUUAUGUGUUUUAGUUUUUCUUUCUUUUAUGUUAUUUUGUGUGUUUAAUUUUAAUUUUUUGCCAUUUCCAAAAAUACCAAAAAUAUUUUUCGUUUUUUGUCUUUUUUUGUGUAAUUGCAUGGUUCUUGGACUAUAAUUAGGUAAUAAGUUAUUAGUUGUAAAUAUUGAAUAAGUACAUAUAAUUGCCAAACUUGUAAUUUUUGAAUGAUACUAGAUAAUUUGCUAUUCUUAAUUGUAGACUAUUUAGUUCAAUUAGUUAAUGUGUAUAAUAGAGUGAAGGCAAUAACCUAAAUGAAAAUGUAUAAAGUGCACAAUAGGAUGAAUAAAGUAUUUGGAUAAUUGUUGAUAAGUAAUUUGAAUUGUUAAUUGUUCGUCUAAAUAGAUGUAUGCUUGAAAGAAUUAAUGUUGUGUGAUUAAUUCGAGAAAGACCUUAGACAUUGUUUGAAAUAGCCUAGAACCUACAAGCUUACUUGUUACUAUGUAUUCCUAGUUCUCAUAUCUUUGAGCCUCAAGUACCCUUUUCUUGUAAGCCUUAAUAUCAAAGCCUUGAGCCUAAACAAGUCUGGUACUCAAUCCUUCUCAGUCUCAUUCUUUAAAGUGCACUACGUAAUGGACGUCGGGCUAUGGACAUUAAGGGCUAGGUAAAAACAUUAUGGUGGCUUUGUAUGCGAAAAAGAAAAUGAAUGGAUUACAUUAGUUAGUACGUAUUAAAAAAUGAAUGAAAGAGCGCAAAAUAAAGAAAAAGAGAGCAAAAUCCAAAUUAAGCUCGAAAAUGAAAAUCUUUCAGUUGACAAUUACAAAAUUUUGUAUAUACUAUUAUUACAUAAUACCUUCUAACAUUUUGGAGAAAUAAGGUAGGUGAGGGAAGGAGAAAUAAUGAGGUGAGCUCGUAAAUAAAUUGGGGAUGAGUACGGAACAAUGUAAUGUGCUUAACCGUUUCUAAUCCUUGAACCCGUUUUGAGUGCCCAUUGUUUCAAUUCCGAACCGUCUUAAGCCUCAGAACACUAGAAGCCUAAAAGACCUUUGGGACUCGAAUUAUAACAGCCCGAUUUUGGGCCUAGUGGAAAUAGUGGUUUCGAGACCACAAAUCCGACGAGGGAAAAAAUAAUUAUUAUUAUAUUUUAUGGUCCACAAUUUCACAGAAAAAUUUUGUUCGAAAAUUUUGAAGUUUGGGCACUCAAUUUAGUCAAAAGGACUAAAUUGUAAAAGUGCAAAAGUUGGGUUCUAUAUGUUAGAGGUGUCCAAUUGCUAUGAAACUUUAAAUUGGAGGUCCUUAUGUGGUAAUUAGACCAUUAGUUAAUUGAUGGACAAAAUGGGCAUAGAAUUAGUGAAAUAGAUUUUUUAAAGUAAGGGAAUUUUAGUCAUUUGGUAAUAAAAAGAAAUAAAAUGGGAAAAAGAUGGAAAGAUAGUGUCAUCUUCUCCAUAGUUGCUGCCGAAUGUUAAGGGACACCAUAGCUAGGGUUUCUUUGCUUUUUCAAGCUCAUAGUAAGUUCAUCCUAGCCCCAUUUUUAAUGUUCUUCGCAUUUUUGAGAUCCUCGUAGCUCGGUUUAGCUAUUUCUACCAUUAAUUCAUGUUAGAGUUCAUAUUUGGAAAAAUAUCCAUAUGUAAAAUGUGUUUAUUUUUCUAUUUUAUGGUAGAAUAUGAAGUGAGGAAUUAUAUUAAACUUUUGCUAAGCGAUUUUAAGUGAAAACGGGUAAAUCGACAUAAUCGGUAAAAAUAUUUAAUGUUCAUAAGUACAUGUUAGAGUGAGAAUUUGAUAUUGCCAUAGAAGGAAAAAGUGUUCAGCAUGUUGUAAAACAUAAGAAUAAGGAGUGAAAUUUAAUUUUUGAGCUUGGGAAAAAUGUAAUUAUGCAAAAGUUUAGGGACAAAAUCGUAAUUUUGACAAAAGUUGAGUCGAAGCUUGUUUUAAUAAAUGUGAAUGUUAAACAAGCUCAAUUUGCUGUUAUAGAUCAAGAAAGACGAGAAGUCAACCUUAAUCGAGGAAAAGAGAAGAUUGGGGAUUAAAUUCUAAAAUCUUUACAUUUUGUAUCGAGGUAAGUUGUAUGUAAUUAAUACAUUAUUAUAAUUAUUUUUGUUAUAUUUCGUGACAAUAUAUGCGAAAGGGUUGGAUAUGAAAUAGUUAUAUUAAAGUUAGAAAUUUGAAAUUGAUAGUUGAUUUGUUUAAAAUCAACUUGUUUUAUGGAUAUACCAACUACAAGUAAUGGUUGAAGUGAUUUAAAUCGAAUUAUUAAAUUGGUUAUGGAGUUGAGUGGAAAGAUUGAUAUUAUAAUGUGCUAUGGAGAAAUUGUAAAUUAUUGGAAAGUAUGAAUCUUAGUGGAACUGUCGGAAUGGUAAAGAUUUGAAUAAGUUAUCAAUGAACACGUGUGUAGUACUGUGAAGGCUACUACGUCUAUCGAUAAUUAAUGGUCACAUGUGUAGUACUAAGUGAAGGCUACAAUGUGUACGGAUAAGCUUUGGUCACGUGUGUAGUACUGUGUGAAGGCUACUACGUGAAUCGAUAAAUGAUGGUCACAUGUGUAGUACUAAGUGAAGGCUACUAUGUGUACCAAAAAGAUUUGGUCACGUGUGUAGUACGAUGUGAAGGCUACUAUGUGAAAUGUAAAACUUGAUCAUGUGUGUAGUACUAUGUAAAGGCUACUACGUGAACCGUAAAACUUGAUGACGUGUGUAGUACUAUGUGAAGGCUACUACGUGUAUCGAAUGAAAAAAGUAACAUGGGUAGUACAGUGUGAAAAACCCAAAAUAUUUGUUGUUAUACCGACAUGUUCAAUGAGAUAUGAGUAUGUGAUUGGAACGUGAUAAGUUGCGAAAGAGUGACUGAAGUUAUGAAGUCUUGUAUUAUGUUAUAAAAUAAAUGGUUAUAGUGCUACGUGAAUGAGGGAUGUUGGAAUAGAAUAGAUUUGGAUAGUGACAGUGAUGUUAGAUUGAAAAAUCACAAAAAAUUAUAGAAAUUGAGUUAGUGGUUGAAUAAGACAUGAAAUUAAAGGUUAGAGUCUACUUUCACAUAAAAUAGAAAGAAUGACCAAAGGAGUUAUAUAUUUUGAGAUAUUAGAAUUUUAGUGAGACAAGGUCUGAAUGAUUUCAAAAUCCUCUGUUCUGACUUUGGAAAAACACUAAAAAUUGCAAAAAAAUAAUUAUGUGUUGAAAUUUACAUUAUUAAAUUUCUUAUUGAAUAUAUUUUCAAAAGAAAAAAGUGGGAACAUCAUUUUAAUUCUGUACUAAGAGAUAAAUGACUUUUAGUGAAGAGAGGUCAGAAGUGUCAAGCAAUGAAACAUGGGAAUCUUUAGAGAAUAAAAUGUACUAAUUGGCUGAAUCAAAAAUUCUUAAAAUUUUAUGAUAAUAAGUUAUACAAGUCUAGUUUCAGAAAAAAAUUACGGAUCUUAAUUUGGAGUUUCGUAGCUCUGGAUAAAAAUAAUUUAGUGACUGUGACGCAGAGAAAUAGUUUGCUUGAAAUUGAAUAGAUAAUAGAUUUUUGUGUGAUAAAAAUUAUAUUAUAUAUGGUAUCAUGCUAAAAAUUUAUUUAUCAAUUACAUACAUACUUACUAAGCUAUAAGCUUACUCUUCUUUAUUUUUCCCUUGUUUUAUAGUGAUAUUAAUCAGCUCGGGAAUUGGAUGGGGUCAAAACAUCAUCCACACUAUCAUCAUCAUCUUUUGAGUAUUUUGCAACCAAUACUUUGAAAAAUGGCAUGUAUAGAUGACUUAAUGUAAUGAGUUAUAAAUUUAUAUAUAUGUAUAAAAUAUUGUUUGGUUUAAAAUGUUGGUGUAUAUUAAUUGAUAAAUUGUUUCAUUAAACUAUUAACAAAGUAAUUAGAAUGUUUUGGAUGGAUAAAUUGUGUCUGAACAUAUAAUUGUAUUUGGUUGAAAUAUUGAAGUUGUUUGAAAUUGUGUUUCGAGAAUUUGCAGGAGGAAUUGAAUAUUUAUGAAAAGGAGUUAUGUCAAAUUUUUUUGUAAAAAAAAUAUAUAUAUAUUUCAGAUCAUUUGAUAACACUUCUUACUUUGUUUCGAUGAUGAAUAUGGGUAAGAGGUGUUACAUUUUAGUGGUAUCAGAGCUAUGGUUUAGCCAGUUCUCGGAUUAGUAUAAUGUGUGUAAAAGUCUAUCUAUACAUGCCAUAAAUAUAUUGUGAUAGUGUGAGCAUUUCUAACAAUUUUAAAUUUUGUUUAAUAUAGUAAAUGGAUCCUAACAGAAGUGUAGCAGAAGAUGUUGAGAGUAACGUGCCGGCUCCCACGCAAGGGCCGUGUUUGAAGAAAGUAGACAUGAGACGCAUAGUCAGGAUGUGGCUCGGGAAGCCUUCCUUCAUAUGAUGAAUAAUUGGUAUUCAAAAUUUGUUCGUGCAAAUCCGAAUGUUCAACCUCCUCCACCC